UCUGAUCAUUUUGGAACCUAUAGGCGGAACUACAGGUGAAAGUGACACUGCAAGCUGAAUGAGGGACGGUAAUGUACUGAUGGAGAGGCCUAGAAAGGAACGUAGGCAAACGAGCCAAUAAGGAACAGACGCAUUCGCUAUCCACAGCUUUCAUCCACCUGCAACAUUCGUCUUCUGCAGGAGUAGUUUCUUGAUACCCAAGGCUUGAAGGAGAUGACAGUAGUGAUGAGUGCGCGAGUGUAAAUGCUGGUGGAGUUGGUGGAGCAGGUGGAGUUGGUGGAGCUGGUGGAGCUGGUGGAGCAGGUGGAGAUGGUGGAGGCAAAGGGGUAUAUGGCAAAUUUUGACAUGCAUGGUUCACAAGUGUAAAUUGGGAGAGACAAAGUGGACGAGGGACAAUAGAAGGAUUAGGCGCAAAUUGACUGUUUGAUCCUCCUAGGUGAAUUAUUACUAGGAGUAACAAAGUUGAAACCAUUCCUUGGAUCAUGUUCAUUUUGCUUAUGCUUCCUUCUUGUGUUUGUUCACUAAUAGCAAUACAUGUCCAGCAUUAAUCGUAUGUUAGUCUUAUAUAAUGACAAGGUUGCAUUCAUAAUCUUUAUAUGUUCUCUCAUUGUUAGGUAGUAUUUCUUUUUUCUGGUUUAGCAAGCAAGUAAAGAGGAUUAAAGCGGGGUGAGUACAACUCAUUCUUUUUAUGUUAACAACGCUUCUUCUAAUCAGCUAACCAUAAAUUAAUUAGUGGGUACAAGAAACAAUCGACACAACUAAAAACAUCCUAACUGGACAAAUUGAUCAGUGAAAGUUUUACAAAUUGAUCAGUAAAAGUGCAAAUUGAAUAUGUUUUACACUCAUCAAGUUUAACAUGUUUUAAGUUUUGUGCAACAUAUAUCAUGUAAAAGUCUUUUACACAAUUAAAGUUGCAUGGUAAUUGCAAAUAAUAUCUUUCUUCGCAAAUAACAGUUUUAAUACAUACAUAUCUAUUAAACCUUAACAGAAUUCUUGAUUUCAAGGUUGUAUAUCUAGAUUACACUUUUACAUGUAUAGUUAAACCCAGUGCCCGAAAUUAAAGCUGACAUACAGCAGCAAAAUAACGAAAUAAGAUGUAUGAUUAAGGUAGAAAUUAUUUAUUAUUAAUGCAUCUCCCAAAACUGUCGAAGUCACUGGCCUACAAUUAUCAGAUGUAUAAAUUCAUGCCCAACUUGCUUGCUUAUUGUCUUUUUUUCUUAUCUAAUAUAUAUAUAUAUAUAUAUAUACCAAAACAGUUGUAUAUUUCAAAACAGUGGUAUAUUUCAAUAAUAGUAUAUAUUUCACUUGUAAAAACAGAUAAAAACAAUGAAUAAUGAUUGAUUUAGUAUAUCAGUUUGUAAAAAUCUACUCAGUACUCCCUCUUUACUACCGUUUCUUCAUGUUUAUCAUUCUUAUAAUUUAUAUUUUCCCCAGAGUUUUUUUUUUUUUUUACUUUACCCUGUUCAUCUCUUCCUCUUAAUCUAUGUUCUUAAUAUCGUACUUCUUUAACCACACCCCGAAAAAUUUUGAUCUGGCAGCUAACACUCGUCCUUUGUCUAUUUUGCAGACCUUUUGGACUAACAGGGCCAGAAUUCCUAGGAAUUUACAGGUUAAUCCAUCAUUGAUAUUAAGAAAUUAAGAGGCUAACCAUAUACUGAGGGUAAUAAUUUUAUAGAUAACUUAAUUUACAUGAUUUACAAAAACUAUGUAAAAUGACUUAAAACAUAGAUAUAAGAACAGUGAGUAUAGAUAUUUUUGGGGGGAAAAUAUGUAAAUAAGAACUUACAUGAAGUAACUAGGAGAGAGGUUUCCCUUUCGGGAAUCCCCUAAAGAUUGAAUAGAAAACUUGAAGCUUUUAUUUAAACCACAGUGAUACAGAGUUUAUACAAGAACGACUGGCUUUGAUAAGAUUUUUGGGAGGAAGGGUUUAAACAUUUCAAGUAGGUUUUGAUAGUUGGUUAAUUUCACUCUGUCUUCCUACUACAACAUGUGCGCCUUUUAUAGGCAAAAUGUACAUAAAGGAGAGGUUUUAAGAGCUACUACGUGGCCGUAACACAAUUGGCCGACACUUUUAGAUAAGGGAUAAGAAAGAAAACUUUAAUAAUGCAAGUCGGGUACUCUUUGGGCCCCAUCGUCACAUGCGUUAUUAAUUUUCUUUCAAACUUAUUUUGACGCGUGCUUCAACAGUUUUUCUUUCUUUUGGAAAGUAGUGAUAAAGGAAGCACUCUGACUCUGACUAUUACAAGACAUAAAGUGGGCAUCCCCACUUGACCAUGCUAACUAAUAAUACAAAUUGUGAGAACUGUAGAUUAUCUUUACGUAUCCAAGUUGUGCAGGGCUAUGGAGUCGAAGCUCAUGCCUGAGUCGUCGUCUUCAUAUGGAUCCUGAGCAUCCUGGAAUUGUGCAAUAUUAUCUUCUUCGUCUGAUCUAGCAGAAUUAUUAUCUGUAGUAUUUAUCUCUGGCACAACUCUGUCUAAAUUAGUGGGUUGUUCGUCUGGUUGUUCAUCCAUGUAUUUAUCUUGUGUCUGUUUGCUGAAGAAUCUGUCUAGAGUCUGUUUAAUUAUUGUCUCUAUUGUCUCGUUUUUUCUCUUAGAUAAUAAAGUCUUCUUUAAAGUCCUAUGUCCAGAUUUCGUCAAUUUAGCUUUUGAUGAAGAACACCCUUCAUCCUCACUUUUUGGCAAAGUGACAGCCAUUAACGGAUUUGAUUUGUCUUUACCGGUCACCGUUUGAACCGGACUAGCUGUACCAACAUCCGGUACAGUGGAUUUCUGAGCAUUUAUUGGGAAAUAGACACUCUUCUCAUCCAUUUUUUGAGGAGAUGGAGAACUCUGAGCUGGAGUCUGAGUUUGUGCAUCUGUUUUGCUAACUGAAGUCUGCUGUCUGAGUUUUGUUUCUAACAUUUGUAUUUGUUUGAUCAGUCUAGUGUUUUCCAUGAGGAGUGAUUCCUUUUGGGCAUUUAGCGUCUUGAAGUUUUCCGUCAUUGAAGAACAAUGGUUGCAAAAAAUAAUCUUUCCAGUCUCUUUUUGCAAAUUAUACUGGGGUAUCUGGUCUGGAUUUUGUCUAAGGGAAGAAGAUAUAUAAUAAUUUGGCCCUAAAUAUCCUCUAGCAUGAUAAGUGGCUUCGGUAAAAUCAUUAAAACCUUUAAAAAGAAGGGCUUUAAAACCUUGUAUGGAGUCUAAUACUUCUAACCAUGUUUGAAAAAUUCCGUUAGUUUUUCCAUGAAUGACUACAUAGUAUUUAAAAUGAGGCCUACUUUUUUCUGCCAUGUAAUGGCAUAAAGAGUUCAUAGAUGCCAUAAAGUGAUUACGGUUUUGCCUAUUAUAAGAGAUCCAGAGGUUAUCUACUAAACACCUUUGGGGUCUGUCUAAAAUGUAAUCUGGUCUUACUCUAAAGGAUAUAUUGCUCUCAGGGUAUGCUAUUAAAUUAAAUGGUCCGAAAUGAAUUCUUUCCAUUGUCUCGAGGGAUUCUAGUGGUCUAAAAUUUAAGUUACCUAACAUUGUCUGUUGAUAAGAUUCUGAAGACGAAGCUACGCCUUUGCCUUUGUCUGCAGGAAGUUGUCAUGUUGGUCUCAUGCUGAAAACAACUCAUGCUGAAAACAAAUGAGUAAAAUUAAACUUAUUUAUUUAUUCCCAGUUGUAGUCUACUUAACUGGUCAGCUAAUGCGUUUUCUUUUCCUUUUAUAUGUUCGAAUACUAUAUUCUUAUAGACAGAUAUGAUAUCUGUAAAAUUUAACCAUCUUCUUCUACUACUAGUUUUGUCAUUUAUUUUUUGAUGGAACUUAACUAUAGCUUCACAAUCUGUUCUAACUAAAAUCUCGUCUUUAUUUAGUAUAUAUAAUUUGAAAGCAUUUAAGCCAUAUAUGAUAGCUAAUACUUCUAAGUCUAUAGCGCUCAUAUUUCCUUUUUCUUUAUAUGCGCCACUCUGAUAUCCACAUAUUUGUUCUUCAUUUUUAUUACUGUAUUUAUUAGGUCUUGAUAGCUCCCCAUCCUAAAUCACUUCCAUCUGUUUGUAUAAUUAAAUAGUCUGAUUCUAGUGGAAUUUUUAGGUCUGAGAUAUUUUUAAUUUUUUCUUUUAUUUUUUGGACUAACUUAACGUCUUCUAUAUUAAAAUUUUUCCGUCCCUUACUACCUGUCUUUGCAUAUAAUGGUCCUGCUAUUUUUCCUAAAUCUUGAAUAAAAUUUCGUGCAUAAUUUACUAAUCCUAAGAAUUUUUGUAAAUCUUUUGUUGUUUCUAAUUUGUCUGGCAUUUCUAAUACCUUAUUUGCUAUGUGUGGUUGUAGUUUUACUUUUCCAUUUCCUAGAGUUAUUCCUAGGAAAUUAAUAUAAGUCUUGCAUAACUCCAUCUUCUUUUUACUUAUUAUUAUGCCAUGUUUAACAAAUAGUCUGAAGAUUAUUUGUAAGUGUCCUAAAUGUUCUUGCAUAGUUUGACUAAAUACCAAAAUAUCAUCUACAUAUACUAAUAUAAAAUGUUUAUAUUCUCCAAAUAUGUUAUCCAUUUUUCAUUGAAAAAUGGGCGGAGCUGUCUUUAAUCCAAANNNNNNNNNNNNNNNNNNNNNNNNNNNNNNNNNNNNNNNNNNNNNNNNNNNNNNNNNNNNNNNNNNNNNNNNNNNNNNNNNNNNNNNNNNNNNNNNNNNNNNNNNNNNNNNNNNNNNNNNNNNNNNNNNNNNNNNNNNNNNNNNNNNNNNNNNNNNNNNNNNNNNNNNNNNNNNNNNNNNNNNNNNNNNNNNNNNNNNNNNNNNNNNNNNNNNNNNNNNNNNNNNNNNNNNNNNNNNNNNNNNNNNNNNNNNNNNNNNNNNNNNNNNNNNNNNNNNNNNNNNNNNNNNNNNNNNNNNNNNNNNNNNNNNNNNNNNNNNNNNNNNNNNNNNNNNNNNNNNNNNNNNNNNNNNNNNNNNNNNNNNNNNNNNNNNNNNNNNNNNNNNNNNNNNNNNNNNNNNNNNNNNNNNNNNNNNNNNNNNNNNNNNNNNNNNNNCUUUCUCCUAUUAUCUCCAUUUUGUCUAAUAUAGAUAUUAUAUUUUCUAAAUCUUUUGGACUGUUUAUUAUUCCUAUUUUAUCUAUUCCUUUUCUAAAAUUAUAAAACUGAGUUUCUAUACUUAUUAGGGUAUAUUCCUUUUCUAUAUUAGUUAAACAUUCUUGUCCCGCUGCAUUAAGCAGAGUAUAGUUUCUAACCUCUUCCAGAUUUUCUUUUAGUAGGUUGCUACAUUGAUUAUUUUGGCAAUCUUCGCAACAUGACUCUGGAAGCGAUUUCUUUUUACUUGUAUUUAGGUUUCUAAAUACUGUAGGCAAUGUUACUGUUUGUACUGGUGUAUAAGUUAAAUCUUUAAAGAGCAUUAUUCCAUCUCUUGUUAAGAGACAUCCUCCUUUAUUCUGUAUACAAAAUCUUAGUCCUAUUACAAAAUCUGAUCCUAUAUUUAAAUCUCUUGCUAAUAUUAAAUUAACAUUGUAAACUGAGUUAUAGAAUUUAUUGCAUGUAUUUAAGAAGCUUAUUUGUGCUUUUUCUAUGUAAUACUUAUAGAUAUUUUGUGAUCCAUCCAUUUGAGUGGCCAUUAUAGGUCUGUCAAGUGUCUUUAAUAAGUGUUCUGGUACUAUUUCUUUAUUGAUUAAACAGCUAGUACAUCCUGGAUCUAUUAAUGCUAGCGUUUCUAUUUCUACAUCUUUUAUUUUAAUUUUUACUAAUACUUUUAUGGUAGAGAAUUCUUUAUCUUCGUUACAUAUUAAACCAGUGCUAUUAUCUUCUAGAUUCAUAAGUUCUGCUUCUAAUUUUCCUAAAUGUACCGCUUCUUGUGUAUCUGUUUCUUCUAUGGAGAUUUUUGUUUUUCCUUUUUCUAGAAUAGUGAAUCUGUGUUCUAGAUCAUUUAAUCGGGUUUCUAAAGUGGACACCCUUGGGUUUAGGAUUUGAUUGUUUGUAUAUUUUUGUCCGUUAUUUAUUUCUGACUCUACUUUAAUUUUUAGAGUGUUUUCUAUACAAUUUAUACAUGUCUCUAGGUAACAUUUUUUACAUUUAGCUCUGUUGUCUUUACUUGGAUACCAAUUACAAAUACGACAUCUAUUACUAUCUAGACCUUUAUUUCUUUGAAAUUCAUGUAUACAUUCUUGAGUAAUAUUCAUUAAAUUAUUAAUUGUUAGGUUGCUUAAGUCUAAAUCCUCUAUUUCUUGCCCUAGCUCAUUAACUAAGUUAUCUUCGUCUGAUUAGGAAGAAUCAGAUUUUAGAUUAUCUUUAUCAUUUAUGUCAAUGCUUAUUAUUGAGUAUAUACUUUCUGUAUCUGACAUGUAUUCGUCUACAUUUAAUAAAGUCUCAUGGAAAUCUUCUAUUAGUUGAGAGUUUCUAGUUCUAUUAUUAUUUCUCUUAGGACAUACAUUGGCUAGAUGGUCUAUACUACCACAUGUAUAACAUUCUAAUUUAUGUUUACAAUUUCUAUCAUUUCUAUAUUUUCUAACAUGUCUAUCUCUAUUUAACCAAGGUUUUUUAGCCUUUGACUUUCUUAAGAAGUAUUGUUUUCUACUAUAUGGUUUCUGAUUAUUUCUUUUCUUAUAUUUUUUAUGUUGUUUUUNNNNNNNNNNNNNNNNNNNNNNNNNNNNNNNNNNNNNNNNNNNNNNNNNNNNNNNNNNNNNNNNNNNNNNNNNNNNNNNNNNNNNNNNNNNNNNNNNNNNNNNNNNNNNNNNNNNNNNNNNNNNNNNNNNNNNNNNNNNNNNNNNNNNNNNNNNNNNNNNNNNNNNNNNNNNNNNNNNNNNNNNNNNNNNNNNNNNNNNNNNNNNNNNNNNNNNNNNNNNNNNNNNNNNNNNNNNNNNNNNNNNNNNNNNNNNNNNNNNNNNNNNNNNNNNNNNNNNNNNNNNNNNNNNNNNNNNNNNNNNNNNNNNNNNNNNNNNNNNNNNNNNNNNNNNNNNNNNNNNNNNNNNNNNNNNNNNNNNNNNNNNNNNNNNNNNNNNNNNNNNNNNNNNNNNNNNNNNNNNNNNNNNNNNNNNNNNNNNNNNNNNNNNNNNNNNNNNNNNNNNNNNNNNNNNNNNNNNNNNNNNNNNNNNNNNNNNNNNNNNNNNNNNNNNNNNNNNNNNNNNNNNNNNNNNNNNNNNNNNNNNNNNNNNNNNNNNNNNNNNNNNNNNNNNNNNNNNNNNNNNNNNNNNNNNNNNNNNNNNNNNNNNUGUAUCCCACAUUUGGGGAUCAUGUGCUGCUAUAUUUAGAAUUUUACCUUUACUUCCUCUUUCUUGUAGUUUAAUUGGUUCUUCUAUUGGCAUUCUUUUACCUGCUGGUUUUAUAUGAUCUCCCCUAAGUUCUGUAUCUGGGUUUAUUCUAAUUGCUGGUCUUCUAGGUACAUUACCUGUACUAUAAUCGUUUAGAGUUUGUUUGUUGGAAUGGGCUAGCACUUGAGGAGCUAGUUGGUUCUAAUUCUGUCAGUUCUUUAUAACUGAUGGUAGAACUUAAUAUAGAGAUUGUGUCUUCAUCUUUUCCUUUAAAGAUUGAUUUGUUAUUUCUAUAUCCUAAAUUAUCAUUUCUCUCUAAGCAAUUUUUAAAAUGUUCUACAUAUUCUUCAAUUUUCAUGUCGUCUUUUUGACAUCCUUUACAUUUAAAAGUUUUAUUUUUAUAUUCUUCCGCUAAACUUUCGGCCUUUUCUAUGACCAUGUCUACUUCAUAUCCUUCUUGUAGGAUUUCUAUAUUCAUAAACUCGCUUUCUGUUUCUAUAUUACUUUCUGUGUCAUCUUCGUCUAAACUUCUUUUAGUUGUGUAAUUAUAAUUUGUAAACCUGACCGAGGUUUCUCCUUUGCUUGUAGUAUAUAAUAGAUGAGAGUCUGGUGUAAAAAAUUUUGGUUUAGUAAAUUUAUUUAAAUUCCAUUCUAAACCUGCAUAUAAUUCAGGGUCUAUUUCGACUCGAUCAUCAGAUUAUAAGUUCAUAACCUUAACCCAUUACCAUUUUGGGCGGAACAGAUCUGCUAAUUCUUUGAUUCCAGUUAGUAAGAGGGAUCUUGAACUAAGAAAUAGACACUAGAAGCUAAAAAGGACUAUCCUGAGCAAUUGCAAUAAUCGGGUUCAUUGAUAUUCCUGGUGUAGUAGAUGCUAGCUAUCACACAUACAAUCAUACUCAAUUUGAUGAAAUUGUUUGAUCUUAAAGGGGAUCUUCUAUAAUUUCGCACGUGAGGGAUUAUUUCUUGGUUUUUCAUCAUUCCUUUUUCUACCAUUUUGUUCACUCGUUUCGAUGGAAAGGGAUUUAUAUGGAUGCAUUGACCCAGAGAAAACAGAAGUUGUACCUGCGUGUUGAAAAUACAAUUAAAUAAAUAAAUAUAUAUUCUCUCAAAUAAUUUAAGAGUUUAGAUGACAUUGCAAUGAGUUCGCGUUUGAGUUAUAUAUGAUAAAACAUCAAACUUCAUGCGAAGGUGUUAUAAGAAUACUUAAAUGUUAUAAUUAAUGAAAGGGAUUGUCCCAUAUGGCCUUUUUUUCAUUUGGCCCACUCUUUAAAAUUCCAACAUUUAACUUUAAUAAUUGUCAAUCUAACUGUUUAAAUUAUGGACAUAUGUAAUCGUGUAUAAUUUAUGCAUAUCAAUUAGGAAAAUCAAAAAAUACUUAAAAGACCUUUAAAUUUGUCUUUUCUUUGGAUUCGGUGGACUAAAUUUUUCCUUUAAAUAUAAUUGGAAGAUAUUUUUUUUCCAGACAAAUUUAGCCACUAGAUUAAUGGGGGUCAUAUUAUUUGAAGUGUGCAUGACCUCGGACCAAAAGGCCUUUAAUUUGUACGUUCAAAUGCCCCAUAAAAUUAUGCACUCUAAAUAGUUAGAGUAUUUAGUGUCAAGGGACAACACAAAUACAGCUAGCUUGUAAUUACUUAUAUUGCACAUUAAAGGAUUUUUUUUUUUUAGUGUAUAGAGGAUAUGGUCUGGCAUGACGGGUUAUAAUUUGAAUAAAAAUCAUAAUUACUAUAUGUAUAUUUUAUGUAUUUUAUUUUAUUUUAUUAAUUUCAUGUGUCAUAUUUUAUGGGUGUACUAAAAUAAGUUUACUUAAAAAAAAGAGGGUCGAAUCAUAAAAUAAAUAAGAAAAAUGCAGGCACCCGACAAUGCUAGAUGAAGCCAACGUGGCUCAAGGACAUGCAGAUUAAGAUGAUCAAAACACGAGGUUUAUAACUGUAACGUUCUUAAUUAAUGUGAGUAAAGUAAGAAGAAAUAAUGAUUAAAUACAUGAUUGAAUUAAAAUAACAAGACAAAUAAAAUGAAACGAGCUUGAGUUUCAGUAUUUGUAGCUGGUAGCGUUACCGAUGAGCUUGAGACUAUUAUUAUGCUUUAGAGUGAUGGAAUAAAAGAAUUUAAUAGCUUGAAGCAUAAAUAUAAUGCAAGUGAAUAAACAGGAAUACAAAUGCGAUCACUCCUUCCAAUCGAGAUAAGUGAGAUAUCAGUGCUUAUUGUUAUCAAUUGAGUCAAACUUAACUUAUCCUAUCUUUCGCGUGUCAUUUCCUAAUUCACCCAUAUAUCUAAUAUUGUUUUUACCCCAUGCAAUAACAUAAUUUUGGGGAAAGUUUGAAUAUGCAUGUCAAGCAUUAUGUUCUAACCAUUAGCUUAAAGUUGAUCCAAUUGACUUUAAUUAAGUUCUCUUCUACGACAUAUCUUGACUAAUAAUGCUCGAUAACAUUUUAUGUACAUUUAAUAAGUUACACGCUGAAAUCAAGACUUUGCAAAAUCAAGACUUUGCACCUUGAUCAUGGGGUUCAGUAACUGCAAGUUUCUCUUUUAAAUCGGCAACAAGUUGACUAAUCAAAGAAUGUGGUGCAGUAAAUGGAACUGCUCCUCCCUUAACCAGAGAUCUCGGGUUCGAGCCCUAGAUAUGAAAAAAUUCUUGGUAGGGAGCACUACACCCGAAUGGGGCCCUAUUCGGCACGAAUUCGAAUUAGUCGGACUCUAAUAUGGGUACCGGACAUCGAAUGAGAAACAUCGGAAAAAAAAAAAAAAAAGACUACUUUGAAAGUGAUUACAACUUAAAUGGCAAGUUGAAAAUUAGCAAGUUAUUGCAAUUCGUAGUUCCGACCAUUAAAAACAUGACACAGCCUACAUUUAGUUAAUUAGGCCUUGUUAUAUACUACCCAAGAUGUGAAGGCCCAUGUUCUAUGGGCCCAUAAAUAUGACGCCAUUGUAACAGGAGCUUAUGUUUUCGAAUAGUAACACUGGCGCUCCCUGCCCUAAACCCUAGCGUCUCUUCAUCUUCAAUUUUUGUGCUUUGAUCUAAGACCUAGCUUGUUUUCAAUUUCUUCAGCACAAUGAAGCUCGUCAGGUUUAUGCAAUUUCUUCAAUUUUUUUUUGUCUCUGUGAGUUUUUUUUUCCCUAGUGUGUGUAGCCAUGGUUUUAACCUUUAACUUUGUGUGCAGAUUUUUAAUGAAGCUGAACAACGAGACGGUCUCAAUUGAGCUCAAAAAUGGCACCGUUGUUCAUGGAACUAUUACAGGUCACUCUCUCUCUAUCUUUCUCGGUAUAUAUUUUGGAUAGAUACCUGUAAAAUCUAAGAUGAACAGUCUACACUUACGUAGUAGCUGAAUUGCUCACGCCUAUAUGUGAAUUAAAGUAUGUGCUUGUAUGAAUAUGAUUUUCUGGGUGGAGAAGUUAUUUUAAAUUGCUGAUAACCGAAAGUGUAGUUGUUGGGUGGGAUAUGCAAGUUGCUAAACUUGAUUUGUAAUGCCACACUUUAAAUUAGUUCAUAGAAGAUGAAUGGUAACUGUAAUAGCUUACUUCCAGCGUGGGUCACUAUGUAUGUCUAUAAAAUGCAUGAAAGCUAUGUAGAGAAGCUAUCAAAAUUAUAUGAGUUAACCUGUCUCGAUCUGUCUUCUCCCCUCUCCGUUCUUCUGAAUUUAUGAAUCUUUUCCCUUCUUAUCCUCUCUGAUCCGCACGUUUUGAUACAAGCCAAACGGCCAUCUUAGCCUUUGAUGCCAUCGUUCGAGGCCAACACAUGGAAAAUCUGAUUUUGGAAACUUUGAAGGCCCGAGAGUAUGCACGGGGAAGCCGUUGUGGGCACUCAAUAGGGCAAUCCCGUGUGUGUAAGGUUGCAUGGGGGCUUGCCUUGAUGCCCGAGAGCUACAAGUGUUGAAGUAUCAACCAUCCACAGUUGGAGCAUUGAAGAGGUGUCCAUUCAUUGGUGUCUUAACACUCCAAGACCGCCCCUUCAUUAAGGGUGUGUUGGUCAUUUUAUGUCCCUCCUUGACUCCAUAGGUGCCUCUUUCAUUAAGGGUAUGUUGUUAUUUUAUCUUCAUCUUAGGCUUAUUUUUCAGCUUAGUUGUUUAUUGAUAUUGAGAGAACUCAUCUCUUGAGAGAGUGUUAUAACCGUAACUAGGGUAGCACUUAGUGUGAAAUCACUAGUGUUGCAUUUUGGCUAGAAAUAUUGGUGUUUGAGGAGAGUGUGUUCCCUCUUGUGUCUACGUAAGAGCUUGGUGUUGAUUAUAUGAGUUGUAGGGGUUUUGACGUUUGAUACACGUCUUGGUUCUUAGGUUCUUGUAUAAUUUUAGGUCAAGUUACUAUCCUUUAUUUAUUGCAUUGUUGUUGUGUUUCGUAUCUUGUCUUCAUUAUCUCGUUUCUUUGUGUUGCUGCCUCAUUUGUUGUUAUCUUGUUUUCAGCUUUGUUCUUGUGUUUCGUGGCUGUUUUUAGUGUCCCGUACUCGUCUCUGUAUCAUUUGGUAUGAGAGCAAUGAUUGAUUUUGUUCCAAUAAAAUUAAUCUUGGGCUUGUUAACUCGAAAAUCACAAAAAAAAAGUGUUGAAAAAUUGAAAAUCCAAAAAGAAACAUUCUGUCUCGUUUUUAGUCUUUGGUCGAAAUUUUGAACUUAGAUUUAGGAGGUUUUUAUGUGUUUUGGUUGUUUCUAGUGUUAGCCCCUUCAUUACUAACACUAAAAGAGUCUAAAUCUAAGUUUGGAGUCAUUUCCAUGUUCUUGGAAUUUGAAGAUUGUUGUUGUUGUGGAUUUGAGUUGAACGUGUGUUGUUAUUGAAGAUGUGGGCUUGAAAACGUGUUGUUGUUAUAGAGUUCAACGUGAGCUAAAAGAGACAAAAAUCAUUCAAUUUGGAGCUCAUUUGGUUUGGUUUUCAUUCUUGAAUGUUCUUGUUGUUCUUGCUUCUUCAUGUUGUGUUGAAGAAGAAUCCUCAAAGGAGGUUGUUUGAUCUAAAAAUCAAGUGAAAGAAAGAUUGGUCUUUGUUUGUCUUGGAAACAUUUUCAAGACAAAAAGGUUUGACUUGUUUUGCACCUUUUUGGCAAGACAACCUUUUUGAGGGGUUUGUCUCCUUUCCUCUUUUGUCAACCUUGAAAAAUGCUCUUUCUCCUUUUUGGCAAUAAGUCUUUUUGAAAGUCUUAUUGUCCCUUUCCUUCUUUGUAUACAAACAAAGACCACUCUCUUUUCACUUGAUUUUCUUGAUCAAACAACCAUUCUUGAAAAUUUCUUUCCAACAAGAUAUGUAGAUGGUGAAGAACACCUCCUUUGAAAUUUUGGAGUUCUAGGUGCACAUUGGACCUCCAAACAUCAACAACUAUGCGUUUUCAAGUUCAAAUCUUCAACAACACAUUUUCAAGCCACCAAUCCUCAAAAAACAGCAACUUUCAAAUUCCAAGAACAACUCGAAAAUGGCUCAAAAUUUGGAUCUAGACUCACUUAGUGUUAGUGAAGAAGGGGCUAGUACUAGAAACAACCAAAAGUCCAAAACACAUAAAAAUCUCAUAAAUCUAAGAUACAAAUUUCAGCCAAGACACCAAAAAUGGGACAAUUUUUUUUUUUUUUGAGAUUUUUAGAUUUUCAACACUUGUUUUUUUGUGAUUCGCAAGUUAACAAGCCCCAGAUUGAUUUCGUAGGAACGAAAUCAAUCCUUGCGCUGAUACCAAAUGAUAACGGAUCGACUACGAACACACAAAAACAGCCAAGAACAACAAGGAAAACCGAGAACAAGAUACAACAAAAACAAUGGCAGCAACAACAACACAUGAUAAUGGAAACAAGACAACAAAUGCAAUAAGAUAAAGAUAGUUAGUUUGAUAUAGGGAGAUUACAAAACCUAAGAACCAAGAUGUGUUUCAAACGUCAAGACCCCUAAAUCCCGUAAUAACUAACACCAAACUCUUAUGUAGACUCAAGAGGGACGUCAAUCUCCUCAAGCACCAACGUUUCUAAGCCAAAAUGCAACACAAGUGAAUCCACACUUAAUAUGCCCUAAUUACGGUUUCACUCUCUUUCUCUCUAGAGAGAAGACUUGUUCUUUCAAUAAUCCAUAUCAAUAAUCAACUAAGGAAAUAAACCCUAAAAUGUUCUACUUAUAGUCUAUUACAAAAGAAGAUAAAAUGAUCAAACUAUCCUUAAUGAGAAAGGGGUGCCUAUGGAGUGUCAAGACACCAUGUGCAAUCUCUAAAUUACCCUUAAAGAAGGGCCAGCCUUGGUGUGUAAAUUAGGGGGCUGCCUUGGAGUGUGUAAAGCUCUUCAAAACACUUCUUCACUUGUGCUCUCAGGUAGUCAUUAAGGCAAGCCUCCAAGCAACCCUCCACACACGGAAUUGCUCUCUUGAAUGUUCAAAACGGGUCCUCCAUGCAUGCUCUUGUGUCCUCGAGGUGAUCAAAGCUUGAGUUUUUAAGUGUUGGCCUCCAAGGAUGUCAUCAAAAGCUAUGUUGGCCGUUUGGAUCGUAUCAUCUUCAUCCCACUUCAAUCAUUCUUCGACUCUGGAGCUCCUUUCAAAUUCCAUUAGGAAUUCAUUCGCAAGUGCAGAGCUAUUCUGCUUGUCAUCCCUGUAAUUUAUGUCUAUAGCAUUGUAAUUCCUCUCUGUUAAUGUGUUAAUUGCACUCUGUUUCAAUAUAAAUAAUAUCUCUUGUUCACCUUUUGUGGUUCUACAAGUUAAAUUGCUACACAAUCCGAAGAAAUUGAAGUGUUCUAUAUUCACUAUAUAUAACAAUUCAACAAUUUCCUUCAUAAGAAAUUUUUUGCCAGUACUAUGGACGCUUAUUGUAAGCUCUCCAACUCUGAAAUAAUACCUUUUCAAGAAACGGAUGCAGGGAGACAUGGUCAGGAAACUCGAGUCUUCAAUGAAUCUCUACACAUUUAUCCCAAACUAGUUGGGGUCACCUAUAAGAGUAUCCUAAUUUGUUGUGCUUUUUUCAGACCAUUUCAUUAAUUCACACUUCAUAUACUGAUAUACAAAUCUCUAAAUUAAAAAACAAAAACAUAGAAAUUGUGGGAGCGAACAUAAGAUUCUUAUUGGAGUAUCUUUUUAGUCAUUUUCUUAAUAUUUUUGAUAAGUUUAACCUCAAUCCACAUAUUAUUUGCUUUAAAACUUAAAACUAUGUUAGGUUUGUGUUGGAAAAAAAAACUUAAGAGGAACGGAAGUAGAGAGGAAAAUUAAGAGAUAAUUCUUUGCAAGUAAGCAGGAAUAGGAAGCAAAAGUGGAUAGGUUUUGUAUUCUUAUAUCUGAAAUUUUUCAGUGUAUCUGAAAUUUAACUUAAAAAGGAAAUGUUUGUCUUCUGUUCCAAUCAUACCAAACAACCAGAAGUACAACGCUUCUCUCCACUUAAGGGAGGUAAAUCAGUGAAUAACCCGUACUCUAAUGAAGGGGAAAGUAAAUCAGUAAAUGAAAAAUGCUUCAUUUAAGGGAGGUGAAUCCGUAGAAUCUCUCUCAACUUGAGAUUGAUAUAGUAUUUUCUAAUACUUCUAAGUUUUCACGGGUAACUGUCACCAUAUUUUAUACAUCAGUAGAAAAUAUAAAGAUUUUUUGUACCUCUUAUAUUCUUAUUAUUAUCUUUAUGUUGUAUAAUAUUAGCCUGAGAUGAAUUUAAAUGGAGUAACAUGAUCAACGAGGAUUCAUAUAGCCGAGUCAAACUUGUUUGGAACUGAGGUGGUGUUUCUUCUGUGUCGUUGUAAGACCUUCCCCAUAAUUUUGUCGAUAAAAUGGGUUGAUAAUGUAAUGCUCUUCAGAAGUUUAAGUUAUCUUGCACUUGGUUCCAGAUCAUUAUGCCACCAUUGUUCUCAUUCCCCACAAGUGAAAAGUUCUAUGCUGGAAGCAUUUGGUCCAAGAGCUUUCUUAAUUUCUAUGCAAGACCCUACUAUCUUCAUCCACUUGUUUCCAAGAUGUGCAUUAGUUGCUCUUAUCCCACAAAUAUAGCAUUAAUUGGCAAAACCUAUGUUAAAUGGUCAAUUUCUCUAUAUAAAAUUCUGAUUACCUUGUUUUUGCUAUACUGUAACUUAUAAUACUUGUAUAGUUGAUCAUAUAAGCAAGAUUCCUUCACUUGUUUGUGGAUUGUCCUUAUCUAUGUGAGGUGUGAGCAAGCUAUUAUUUCCCAGCUUGAGGUUAAAGUUCCAGGUACUUACGGUCAGAAAGUCGACACAUCAAGUGUAGUUAUAUAGGCUGGUCGAUAUGAUAUUUGGGCAUGUAGAACUAUCCAAAAGAGUGAGAAGUAAGUGGCAUAUAUGAUAUCGUGUACUCCGACAGUCACUUUUGUCAUGCAAUGUUACUGAUCAUAGAUUCAACUGGACAAGAAGCUAAGUUAUGUCCAACUCCUGUUAUUCAGUGAGUAUGUAUGAAUGGUCGAGCUUAAGCGGGCACAAAAUCAACUUGUAGCUUUACAUGUUGUACCCUGGUUUUAUGACAACAACUCUUAAUGUUGUAUUUAUAAUUCUUUUCUGUUGUCUAAUCUUGUUGUCAAUGCUAUUUAUGUUUAUCUUACUGUAUUUUUUGUACAACUGAGGAGUAGCCUCUUAUCCCUUAUUUUCUUUUUGGUGCACCCAUUAGGUACCUUUGUGCAUUGAGGAUUGGGUGUCAUUCAUAGAAAAUCAUAUCUUUAGGUAGGCUUUCUACAUUUUGGUAUACUUCUUAUAUACGGUCGUGCUUUGUACCGAAACAUUUUUAAAAUUAGUAAUUACUUUAUCCUCCAAAAAAAACAUCUGUAGCUUCUUUAUCUGGCAGUAGAGAUGCUACUUGGCAAAAUUAGGUAGGCUUCUUAUGGAAAGUGCCAGGGCUUGUGCUGGUUGCAGGAUGCAUCUGAAAUGUCAUUGGCCAGAAGGGCAGCAAAGAUAAGGGAACACCCUUUGCUGCUAGCUUUCUCCCUUUUUCUUUUCACCGUCCAAAUCCAAAUUGUGGAUCCUUAUUUGCAUGGAUGCUUAAUUGAUUGCCAUCUCUACAGAAAUUUCUUUCUGUUUUAGAUAACUAGACUCCAACAACAACAUUCCCAAUGAAAUUUCACUACAAAAUAUACCACAUAUAGAGACCUACAUGCUUCCGACUUUUAUUUCGUGUACGGUUGCUUAUGCUAACAGAAAAUUGCUAGAUAUAUUUGGGAUAUAUAAAUUUGUGUUCGAGCAUCAGUAUGUGUUUUGAUAUUAACUAGGCACAAUGGCUAUUCAAUCCGUCUCCUUACUGACUUUACUAAAUUGAGAGCUGUGAGUUAAUGUUUCUAAAGCGAGUUAUAUUUUUAAUAUUUAUAGGUGUGGAUGUGAGCAUGAACACACACCUGAAGGCUGUCAAAAUUACGCUAAAGGGGAAGAAUCCAGUGACGUUGGAUCACCUGAGCGUGAGGGGUAACAACAUCCGUUAUUACAUCCUCCCAGACAGCUUAAAUCUUGAGACGCUGCUGGUGGAAGAUACACCCAGGGUGAAGCCAAAGAAGCCAACAGCUGGUAUGUUCAGACGUUUCUUUUUCUUUUUCCUUUGUAAUUGCUAAAAAAGUAAUGUUCAGAAGUAUUUUUAUGCCUCCUGGCUGUAUGGUUAAAUUUCCUUGAUGCUUAGACGUAUACUAAUUUCCUCUUUCUCUGAUUCUUCUUUCUCAGGAAAGCCUUUGGGACGUGGUCGUGGGCGCGGCCGUGGACGUGGACGUGGUCGAGGCCGCUAAAUGCAUUCCAGCUGCUCUUAUUUUUUUUUUUGCAGUGUUGUCUAUGUAAACAUAUAUGUAUGGAUGGAGAGACUUGCUCUUAGUUUUCUAGCAGAAAAGAGAUUGAUCUAAUGCAACAAUUUAUUCCGGAUCUUUAAAGUCUGAGCACGUUAUUUCGUUUCGCACGAUAUAUGGUGUACUAACAUUUCUUUCGUAUCUCAUUCAACUUUAUUCUGCCUAUUCAUAUCACUGAACUGUGUUGGUCACUUUUGCAUCUGCCCAUUUGCAUUGUGCCCUUCGGUUUUUUCAUACAAAGUAGUUGUUACUUUUAAGCUGCUUACUGGCUUAACCCUAUGAAACUCUAAUAAUGCCCACAUUUACUUAGUUUAGUCUAUAAUAGGAAGUAGUUUGUUAAAAAUUAAAAUGACAGAAGAUAGAAAAAGGGAAAAAGAAGCAAGAUACUACUACGAACUAGUGUUUUGAGUCUCUCACAUUACCAGCCUACAUUUGGAUCAAAUUGGGAAUUGGAGGAAUCAUUAUGUGGGAUGAUCGAUACAAGUUUGAACCCGGGCACUUUUCAUGGAUUUGAAACUCCAUCAAAUUUUUAACUAAAAAUUAUGUUGUUAGUUUCAUUUAAGAUGGGAUUUAUGUUGUUUAUACAAUUUUUAAAUCAACUGAAUCGUUUCAUUUUCCUUAAGUUUGCCAAACUGGCUAAAAGUUGAAUACUCUACUUUAAAAUAUUGGAUACAACUUAAAUAGCAGGCUAACAUAGUGCAAUUGUUACCAUUAAAAAGUGACCCGGCCCACAUUUAGUCGAUUGGGCCUUUUUACAUCGCCCAAAAUGAAUAGGCCCAUGUGCUACGGGCACAUGGAGUACGACGCCGCUUCUGUUGGGAGUCUCUGGUUUUUGAAUAAACCCUGGCGCUCCUUGCCCUAAACGGGAGGCUGUAUCGGGAGUAUCUUCAAUUUCUCCAGCAAGAAUGAAGCUCGUCAGGUUCACUCGAAAUCUUCAAUUAUUUUUUUUCACAGUGAGUUUAGCCAUUGAUUAAACUUUCAACUUUGUGUGCAGAUUUUUGAUGAAGCUCAACAACGAGACUGUCUCAAUUGAGCUCAAAAACGGCACCGCUGUUCAUGGAACCAUUACAGGUCACUCUCUCUCUAUCUCUAUCUUUCUCACAUUUUAUUUUGCAUUUUUAUUCUAAUAUAUAUUUUGUAUAGCUGUAUUUACGUAUUAGGUGUGACCCUUGUAAGGCUGUAUAAUCCGAAGUGAAUAAUUUGCACUUAUGUAAUAGCUGAAUUUCUCAUACAGUCACACCAAUAUGUAAAUUAAAGAAUGCGCUUGUAUGGAUAUGAUUUUCUGGGUAGAUAAGUUAUUUCAAAUUGUUGCUAACUGAAAGUUUAGUUGUUCUGAAAAAAGGGGAGUCAACAUAUAUUAUAUUUACAUAAAACUAAAAUUUUUGACCUAGCUAAACAGUGAAGUUUUCCGUCGAAGGGGUAUCAAAUGACACCCCUCGCCAUAAGGUGGCUCUGCCACUGGUAAGUGGUAACUGCAAUAGCUUACUUCAUUCUCCUUUCACUUCCACCAGUCACUAUGUAAGUCUGUAAAUGCAUGGAAUCUAGGGUAGAGAAGCUAUAAAGAGUAUAUGAGGUAAUCCGUCUGAUAUCAAUCGGUCUUCCCCUCUCUCUGUUCUUCUGAAUUUCCGAAUCUUCUGAAUUUCCGAAUUCCUUUCUUAUCCUCUUUGAUUUGCACAUUUUAUCUCCACUUCAAUCCUUCUUCAACUAUGAAGUUCGUUUGAAGUACCAAUAGGAAUUUAUUAAGAAGGGACAGGAAGCAAAAGUAGAUGGGUUGUCUAUCCUUCUAUCUGGAUUUUUUAGGGUAACUGGAAUUUGAUGGAAGAAGAAAAUGUUUUUGUCUUACUUCUGUCCAACCUUACCAAACAAACAGAAGUACAUCUUUUCUCCACUUACGGGAGGUAAAUCACUGAAUGGACAUGCUCCACUUAUGGUGGAAGUAUACAGUAAGUGGCCAAUGCUUCUCUCAUUCUCUGUCAAAUAAAAAGGGACCAAUGCUUCGCUUUAGGGAGGUAGAUCAGUAGAAUCUCUCUCAACUUGAGAUUGAGAUACAAUAAUUUAUAGUACUUCUAAAUUUUAACGGGUAACUAUCACCAUUACAGUAUAUAGCAGUAGGAAAUAUGAAGACUUUUUGGUACUGUUUAUGGAGUAACAUGGUCCAUGAGGAUUCAUUUAGCCGACACGAACUUGUUUGGAACUGAGGUGUCGUUUCUUUUGUUGUUGUUGUAAAACCUUCAUCAUCAUUUUGUCUGAUAAAAUUGGUCGAUAAUGAAAUUCUCAUGAGAAAUUUAAGUUAUCUUGCGCAUGGUUCCUGAUUAUUAUGCCAAUUGCCACCAUUGUUCUUAGUUCCCUACAAGCGACAAGUUCUUUUAUGCCGGAAUUAUUUGGUCCAAGAGCUUUCUUAUUUUCUAUGCAGAACCCUGUUGUCUUCAUCCUGUCGUCUCCAAGACGUGUGUUAGCUGCUCUAAUCCCCACAAAUGUAACAUUAAUUGACAAAACGUAUGUUCAGUGAUCAAUUUCAUCUGUCUACAUUUUGAUUACCUAGUUGUUGCUACACCGUAACCUAUGCCACUUGUAAUCGAUUAUGUAAGCAAUAACCAUGAUGGCUUCACUUAUUUAUGGAUUGUCUAUGUGAGGCAUUUGUAAGCUACUAUAUCCCAGCUUCAUGUUAAAGUUCCAGCCUCCAGGUAUUUGCUAUAUUUAAUGGUUCUUGUUCUGAGAUCAACUGGACAAGGAGCUAAGACUUUUUUUUUUUUUUUUGGGGAUAACCGUGGUGUCCGGGCCAUCUUGCCCGCACCUCGACUAAUUUCACGGGAUACUUGCCACCUCCCACCAGUCACCGGUCACCAACAACAUGUACCAGGUAACUUUGUCCACCAAGACUAGAACAAAUGGAAAGAAAUCACCUAGUGUUUGUCUCUGUUGGGAAUUGAACCUGAGAACUCAUGGUGCUCAACCCAACUUCAUUGAACCACUAGGCCACAGCUUUGGGUGCAACACGUAGCGAAGAGUUGUGUGCAACUCUUGUUAUUCACCAAGUAUGUUUGAAUGCUUGAGCUUAAGUGGGUGUGAAAUCAACUUAUAGCUUAUUAUGUUGUACUCAAGUUUUACGACAACACCACUUAGUGUUGCAAGUAUAAGGAAAUACGAGCACGUUUCGUUGUGAAAAGAAGAGAGGUAAUAGAAGAACCAAUAAUUGUUACCCUGCAAAACAGGACAUGGACCAUCUAAUUUAUGGGUCCUAAUUUUGCGUGGAGGCUUAGUUGAUGGCCAUAUAUGUAUUCCAGAAGUUUUAUCUCUUUUCUAAACGAUUAGAAUAGUUAAAACAUAAAUUUUUGUCAUAUCCUCCUAUUUAGAGACCUUUUGCAUUUUUUUUCUCUGUUGGUUGUCCUUUCUAUGCUUCCGACUUUUAUUCCGUGAAGGGUUGCUUAUACUAACAGAAAAUUGCUUGAUAUAUUUGGGACACAUUAAUAUGUCUUAAGCAUAUCAGUAUGUGUUUCGAUGCUAACUAGGCACAAUGUCUAUUACAUCCGUCUCCUUACUAUUUACUAAAUUGAGAGCUAUGAGUUUAGUUUCUAAAGGGAGUUAUAUUUUUAUAGGUGUGGAUGUUAGCAUGAACACACACCUGAAGGCUGUCAAAAUUAUGCUUAAGGGAAAGAAUCCAGUGACUUUGGAUCACCUGAGUGUGAGGGGUAACAACAUCCGUUAUUACAUUCUCCCUGACAGCUUAAAUCUUGAGACGCUGCUGGUGGAAGAUACACCUAGGGUGAAGCCAAAGAAGCCAACAGCUGGUAUUGUCAUAUUCUUAAGGGCUAUGUUCAGAUUUUUUUUGCGCCUUCUGGCUGUAUGGUUUAAUUUCCUUGAUGCUUGGACAUCCUUCUAAUAUCCUCUUCAUUUGUUUCUUCCUCUUCAGGGAAGCCUUUGGGACGUGGUCGUGGGCGCGGUCGUGGGCGUGGACGUGGUCGAGGCCGUUAAGUGCAUUCCAGCUGCUCUAAUUUUUUGCAGUAUUGCCUAUGUAAACAUAUGUACGGAUUGAGAGAUUUGUUCUUAGUUUGCCAGUGGACAAAAGAUCGAUCUUAUGCAACAAUUAUUCUGGAUCCUUAGAGCACGUUAUUUCGUUGCAUCAUAUGGUCUACUAGUAUUACUUUUGUAUCUCGUUCAAUUUUGCUCUGCCUAGUCAUGUCACUGAACUAUAUUUGUCCCUUUUACAUCUGGCCAAUUUCAUUUUUUCUUACCAAAGUAGUAGUAUUAUUUUUAAUCUUUCUUACUGCAUUGACCUUAAUGAAUCUCCACAAUAUUCCACAUUUAAUGUCGUUGUUUGUGUGUUUUGAGUGAAUAAUGCGUGCGUGUACGUGUGUGUAUCUCGGAAUCCUUUCGAUAACUUGUUUAUCUGUCAGCACUAAAAGGGUGUAUCAACUACAGCUUGACAUGUAAAUCAAUAAUGCGUACCUCAUUUUGGAUUAAAUUACCCAAGACCACAUUGACCAAACUAUGAAAAUUAUUGCUUAUUAGUGAGUAUACUUAUUCUCUUAAUGAGAAGUAAUUUGUUGAAAUACUUCUAUCUAGAGCACCGAAAAACCUUCUAAUGUUUUGAACCCAUGCAUUGUUCAUGACUAGAAACUCCAUCAAUUUUUUGAAUCAACGAUUCAUACUUUGGGUUUAAACUUAUAAAAGUUUGAUUGAUAAAUCGUUCAUGCGUUUUGAAAUUCCAACAAAUUCAUAAACCUCGUGAAUCAUUCCUUAGGUUCCAUUUGACAAAGAUCCGAAUUCCAGCACCAUUUGCUGAAGUUAUUUCAAGUUUUUAUUUUGUCCAAAAUAUUUUCAUGCCAAAAGAGUGGCUAAAUGUUAUGGUAAUAGUAUAAUAUAUAUUUAAUGGCUAAUCCCGUAAAUUGAGGCCCUAAGUAAUCGGGCCCAAUGGGGCUGCAUUUUAAUAAAUAAUUAGUAGUAACAGUAAGCAAAUCCCCUAGAAAGCUGCAACCUAAAACCCUCAUCGAAAAAAGCAAAGCUGCAGGUGGUCUCAACAAUGGCGAAGAACAACGCGUUGAAAUCGACAGCAGUGGUAUUCGGAGCUCUAGCUUUUGGUUGGCUGGCGAUUGAGCUUGCUCUCAAGCCGUGGCUUGACAAAACCCGAGCCGCCAUGGACAAGUCUGACCCUUCUCGUGACCCCGACGAUGUUGAAGCCGUCGCCGAUCAAACUUCAGAAGCCGACAAGUCUCAGGUCGAUGUUGACCCUCCCCAGAAAGACAACUGAAUUGAGAGUUUUGUUUACUAUUUGGGUUGUAAAUCCCAAUAUAUUAUAUUGCUUUAAUUUAACUCUUUGGUAAAAUAAAAAAAAAGAGUUAGGAAUGUGGUGACUUGUUAAUUUCUGUUUUAUGUUUCAGUUUCUAAUGUUUAUAGUAUUACGCUUGAGGGGAAAAUGGUAUUGCCGAAGCUUAAUUUGAUUCAAUUUGGAAUUUCAUCUACCUUGCUAGUGCAGAUUGAAUUUGAUUAGAGAGCAUGUUAAUUUUCAACUAGAUUAUCCUUAAUAUAAGCUUUUGAAAUAUUGCAUUUGCCUGAUUUACCAGUCGUCGGAUCACCAGAUUGCCCUUUACGUCUAAUGUAUGCGUAUACUCUACCAUCCUCAAUUCUCUUUGAAUAUGCAUAUAUUCUCCUCAACGUAGUGAGUAUGUUUGUGUAUAAUCUACCAUCCUCAACUCUCUUCCAAGUAGGGAUAAAAUAUCCGCAUAUAUUCUACCAUCCUCAGACUCUCCUCAAAGUAGUGAGUAUGUUUGCGUAUAAUCUACCAUCCUCAACUCUUUUCUAAGUAGGGAUAAAAUAUCCGCAUAUUUUAUCAACCUCAGACUCUCCUCAAAGUAGUGAGUAUGUUUGUGUAUGCUCUACCAUCCUCAUACUCUCCUCAAAGUAGUGAGUUUGUUUGUGUAUACUCUACCAUACUAACGCUCUAUUUGGCCAUAAAAUAUAAUUUUUAGUAGUUGGAAUUAGAGUUGAGUUGAAGUUGGCAUUGGUAUUGUGUUUUGCCAUGAAUAUAAAUUGAAGUUGUUCUUGAAAUUUUGUGAUAGAAAUGAGAAUUUUACUAUUCAAAAAUAAUUUUCACUAAAGUGAAAUUAUAGCCAAACACAACUAUUUUUCACUAAAGUAAAAUAACUUUUUAAAAGAAGUAAAAAAAUUUUCUGGUCAAACACCUACUAGAACUCUCCUCGAACUCUCUUAUGAAAGAGUAAUUCAUUAGAUGAACGUGAAACAUUAGAUGAACCACAAGUGAUAAUCGUUUAAUGAUUGUUUUCUAUGAUUUGACUUUAUAUUUGUUUUCUAUGAUUUGACUUUAUAUUUCUCUUUCAGUAACGGUCAAUUUGUUUUUUAUAUGAGUUGUUGAUAUAUCAUACAUCACAUAAUAUACUACUAUAAGAUUAUCUACAGUGGAUACACUGCAUAUAGCUAGCAGCAAUGAGAUAAGGACUCUACUAAUUUUUCACAUCACAAGAUAGAGAUAGGAUUGAAGGGAUUGUAUUAAUUAAAUUCGAUUUGACUACUUAAUCAUGAUAUGAAUAUGGUAGUAGUAUAUCUUUUCAUACCAUCCUUGUACAUAUUUCUCAUAUAUCUCAGCGUGAUUUGUGGGUUAUACAUGAAUAGACUAAGCUUGUGGCUCUUUGUAGUCUUAGGGUUCGUUUGGUAGAAUGUACAAAAAUAAUAUAAAAUAUAAUGUAUUAAUAAUGUUUACAUUAAUCAUGUCUAUAUUAGUUAUGCAUAUAUUAUUUCUUUCUACGUUGUUUGGUUUGAUGUAUAAGAAAUAAUACAUCUUACAUAAAAUCUAUAAAAGAAAUAUUUAUUUGCAAAAAUAUCCUUCUUUGAUUUUGUACACUUCUUUGCAACAAAAUUUUUUUGUCAUCUCAAACAUAAUUAGUAUUGUUGAACUAGUAUAUAGAGGUUUUGGUUUAAUUGCAAGACCUUCGUCUUUGCGCAUGAAAUAUUACGCUAACGAAUUAACAUAGUCGAAAUAAAAAUAAAAUAUAAGACAUAAAAUUAAGAAAUAGUCUCAUUUUUUUUUAUCUUUUUAAAGACCCUAGAAGCAAAACAAAAAUAUGUUACAGUUAUUUAAAUCAACUAUUCAUUAUUGUAAAUUAAAAUAGUGGAAAAAAAAAUUGUGAAAUAUUUGAAAAGAUUCACUAUUGCAAAUUAAAAUGGCGGGAAAUGGAAUGAUGAAAUAUUUUGAGAGGAAAAUUGAGGGGUAUUAAGGUCAUUUAAUAAGUUAAUGCAUGUGUUAAAAGACAUUGUAUUAGUAAUAUAUAGGAAAUGAAGUGUAUUACUAAUAUACACUUUAAUACACAAUAGGGUGUAUAACUAAUGCUUGCAUUAGUUAUACAUAGAUAAAAAAUUAUACCAAACAAGGUAUUAAUAAUAUACAUUAACUAAUAUAUGCAUUAUAUUUUUCAAUACACUCUACCAAACGACCCCUAUUUUACUUAUUAAAAAAAAUGCUACUAAACAUAUUUGUAAUAGUAUAUUUCAUUAUUUGCAUAAUAUAUAUGUCCAAGAGCUUAUCAAGUUCUUCUGCAAAGUGAUAAAGCCAUGGACCCUUCAAGGUAGAGAUUGAAAUUCUUUAUGUGGGUCAAAUAUAGUAGUACUACUGAAUAACAAAGAGAAUGUGGGUGAAGGAGUUGGUGAACUCAUCAAGCUCAUUGCAAGUUCAAAUUUUAUCCUUGUUCCUUUUUUUUAAAAAAAAAAAAAAAAAAAAAAACAUUAUUCAUUCAAAAUGACUAUUGGUCCCCAAUAUGUCUACAACAUGGGGCUAGGUGCAGGCAAAAUACAAAACAAUAAAUUGGCCGGUGUUUGGUUUAGGGGUGAGUGAGCAUGGUAUAUAUUGGUACUUGGUAGUAGCAAUAUCAAAUUAAAUUUGAUAUGAUUCAGUGUUUUUUAAGUUUGUUUUUGAAAAUUUACGGCAUAGUAUAUUGAUAAUCUUAGUUUGUUUAAGUAUAUUCAUGUAUAGAGAAUUACAACUUCGAUUUUUCGAAAAAUAUUUCAAUUAUGUGAUUCUAACACAUCACAUACUUGUGAAAUAUUCAAAAGAAAGUACAAAUAAUUUCCUUCUUUAAUCAAUUACAUAAAAAAAAAAAAAUCAAGAUAGAAUCGUUAAAUUUUUAUGUUUAUUUUUUAUAAAUAUCAAAUACUAAUCUUUUGAAGCAUACCAAAUAUACCGUAAUACAAAAUGCACGAUAUAAAUUUUUUUAAUAUCACUAUAAGGGAUCGUUUGGUGUGAGGUAUAAAAGAUAAAUAGUUUCGGAAUAAAAUGAAGGAUUAUUUUAUUAAAUAUUUGGUGUGACGUAUUAGUUAGUAUCAGAAUUAUUAAUCCCAUUAUUUACAUCAUAAUAAUGAAAUAAAUUAUCCCAUAUAUAUAAUGGAAUAAUAAUUAUUCUCAAAAUUAAUUAUUUCGAAAUAACAUUUUUCCAAUCAAACUACCCUAAUAGUUCAGUAUCUACUAUUAGGGUACCCUCCCUAAUUUGGUUUCUUGGGUUAAUUAAAAAAACUCAUAAAGUGCCUAUUCUAUUUUAACUGCUGCGGCAUCGUGGGUGAAUCUAAGUAGGCUGACACAACGCCUUCAUUUUAUUAGGUGUAUUUAAUCAAUACGCAUUUCGAUACUUUCUAAUCUCGGGUACAAUUAUUUGUUUAAUUAGCAAACAAUUCCAGCUCAUACAAAGUUUAACUACUGCUAUUGACGCAAAUAUCAUACUCCCCUACGUCUUAAAUUACCCAUUUCAAAUUGAGUUAACAUAUUAAUUAAGAAAAUUAAUUAAUAACAUGACUAAUUUAUCAUUAUACUCCUAUUAAAUGAUGUUUAUACUUUAAUUUGAAAAAAAAUAAUUAAUGCAAAGGGUUAAAACAUGAAAUUUUUUUUUUUUAUCUCUUCUUGAUUAAUGAAAAGAACAAGUAAAAUAAGAAAUUAAAUUAAAAAAUUUAGGACGAAUAAUUUGAAACGGCUUGUUUGAUUUCUAAUAAUGAUAAUUAGUAAAGUUAUUACUCUAUUCGUCCUAUUUUACUCGUCUCAUAUUUUUUAAUUUGAUUUUUUUUUCUUUUUUACCCUUAGUAUUAAUUUUUUUCAAAUUAAAAUAUAAAUAUUAUUUAAUAAGGAUAUUAUGUAAAGUAGUCAUGUUAUUAAUUAUUUUCUUAAUUAAUGUGCAAUGUCAAAUUGGAACGAAGAAAGUAUCAUAUAAUUAAAAUAUCACAAACUCAAAUUACGAAAGUAGCCGCUAGUAGAAGUAGAAAUAAGAUUGCGAAUAAUAAAUCUUUAUACUUGUCAUUUGAUCAUUACGAAGCUCUUACCAAGUAAAAAUUUUAGUAGAGCAAAUUGAAAAAAGUUUAGAUCCACUCCUAAGUGGUUAAUUGGAGUUUUGCAUGUAAAAAGCAGACAAAUUAGCGAAUCUAGAGAGAAAAUGAAGUGAAAUUUUGGUUAUUUUGUUGACAUCCCACGUUCCUACAUAUUCUUCCCUUAAACUUCCCGGCGGUUCCACCGGCUCUGUACACUUUCUUUUUCACCCUUUCCCCGACAUCUCAGCCACUAAUGUACUAAAAAGAAAAAUCAAAUGCUUACCAAACGUUCAAACAAACAUAUUAAAGUUUUAAAACUUCACUUUUUUUAUUUCAUCACAACAAGCUUAGUAGUAACUCACUUGAUAUAUAAUAACUGUGCAAAAUUGCAUUUUAUGCAAGACCCCAUUUCCCUUUUUAGCCUAUUUGUUUUGAAUUUUUGUCUUUAAUUUUGUCCAUACAGAAACCCCACCUCAUCCCUUAGCUGUACUCAACUUAAAUGUUCUCCGUGGGAACACAUUUCCAUAAACCUCCAAAAAAAUUUCAACUUUUUAUUUUGCUAGUUCCUUUUUUUUUUUCCUUUCUAUUUUGCUAAUCUUGUUCAUCCCAAGAUUUGAUUUUUGUUUAGUUGUAAGUAGAGAGAUGAGUUUGAGUGAAGAAACAUCUCCGAGAAUCUCCAGCACAAUGACCCACUUAAAGAUUUUCAAGAAACUCAAGGGGUUUAAGCCUUUUGAGCCUUCACCAGGUGUUCUUGGAUGCUUCUUUUUUACUGUUUGCUUGUUCUUGUGUCUCUUCUUAUUGGAUUACAGAACAGUAAACAAAGGGCCUAGGUUGCAUCAGCCAUCAUUGUUUGCUACUUGGAUUGGGAUAAAUGGAUCCUCUUUGUUGUAUAACAAGACUGAAAAAGCUGAUUUUUUGGAAAGGGGUGCUGAAAGUUGUGACAUUUUUGAUGGAAAUUGGGUUUGGGAUGAAAGCUAUCCACUUUAUGAAUCAAAGGAUUGUAAUUUGUUGGAUGAAGGUUUUCGUUGUUCGGAGAAUGGUAGGCCUGAUAAUUUCUAUACUAAAUGGCGUUGGCAGCCUAAAAAUUGCAACUUGCCCAGGUUAACUUUACAUAUUUUCUUAUGAUAAUUAGUAAUUUAUACUAUGUUUGAGUUAUGCUGGUAAUUUAAAUAAAGGAUUUAAAAUAAAAGAAAGUGAAAGAAUUGCUUCAACCGUUUAGGCUUUGACUGUUUUAGGAAAACCCCUAAUGUGUUUUUCUUGCUAGCAUUUGCUACUUGUUUUAGCUGAUUGAGGUUUUAAUCAUUGAAUUAGUAGGGGAAUUUAGUUAUAUACAUGACAGUGCAAAAUCUUGUUACACAAUCAACACAAUUUGAGUGGUUACAUCUGGUGGUCAAUCUAUUUUUCAAUUGCCAAUUCAGUCUUGGUAUAAUGAAUUACCUAUUAGGUCAAUUUUACAUAACGGUGUGUACAAAAACUAUAUACAGCUAUCUGUGUAUACAACUUUUAACUCUUACCAUGUUGGCUUUCGUUGAGCGCCGCAUAAUGUUGUUAGCUUGAUGCUUCAGUUUCUCAUUGUUAGUUUUUUGAGGAUGUAGGAGAGAGGUUUUCGUAAUCUUUUCCAUGAUUAUUGAAUGCAAAUUUUUGAUCUUCGAUUUACUAUUAAGCAGAUUUGAUGCAAAAAUUAUGUUGGAAAAGCUGCGAAACAGACGGAUUGUAUUUGUUGGGGAUUCAAUUGGAAGAAACCAGUGGGAGUCUCUUCUCUGCUUGUUGUCUUCUGCAGUUGCUGAUAAAAGCAAGAUAUAUGAAGUUAAUGGAAGUCCGAUCACAAAGCACACAGGUUUCUUGAUUUUUAAGUUCAAGGAUUUCAACUGCACUAUUGAGUACUAUAGAGCUCCAUUCCUAGUGUUUCAAGGUCGUCCACCUUCAGGGGCUCCCCAAAAUGUUAAAUUGACUUUGAGACUUGAUCAAAUGGAUUGGAGCUCUGCUCAAUGGAAAGGGGCAGAUGUUUUGAUAUUCAACAGUGGUCACUGGUGGAUUUAUGAAAAAACUAUUAGAGAGUGAGUUCUUUACUUUCUUUUUCAAUUUGAGCGCAUACUUUUCUUGCUUGUUAAAGGAUAGAAUGAAUCUGAUGGAACACUUGGGAUUUUAUUUUUGUGUCGAGAACUUAAGUUUACAAAUAGAUUAUAGCGAAAAGUUGUAUAAGGUACAUAUAGUUGCUAUAGUUGUGUAUAUUUCCCUUCUAGAUUUUUGCAUUUAAGAACCUAGAAGUACGGCCCUGAUUAAUUAUACAUCUAUGAAAAAAGCUACAACAACGAACCCCGUAUAAUCCCAUGGGUGAGGUCUGAGAAGGGUAGAGUGUACCUACACCUUACUCUACCUUUGAGAAGGUAGAAAGGCUAUGUCCGAUCGACCGUCGGGUGAACGAAGAAUGAAAAAAGAGAGUAACAGCAAGCAGAAACAACAACAGGAUAAUAAGAUAGCGAGACUAAAGAAACGACCGGUAGUGAUAGAAAUCUAAAAUAAGGGAAACUUUAAGAAUGAUACUAGUACUCUGGGAAAGAGAACGAAAUACGUCUGACUACUUACUAACCUUCUAUCCUGAUUCUUAGCCUCUACCCCUUCCCAUCAAGGUCAUUUCCUGGGUGAGCGGAAGUUACGCCAUACACUUCCUAAUCACCUCAUCCCAUUACUUUUUAGGCAUACCUCUGCACUACACGUCCUCACGCCAACCACCACAAAUCUCCCAGGCCUCCUAACCAGGGCAUUUGCACCUCUCCUCUUCACAUAUCCUAACCAUCUCAGCCUUAAUUUUCGCAUCUUAACCUCCACGGGAGCGACGUAAACCUUGUCCCGUAUAUCUUCAUUCCUAAUCUAUCUCUCUUGAUAUUCCCACACAUCCACCUCUGCAUUCUCUUCUCCGCCACUCACAUCUUUUGUACAUGAGAGUUCUCGACUUGCCAACACAGUCUUCGUCGAACUUACCUCUAUUUCAUCCAUCCAGCCCCAAUAUGAUGAGCAACGUCUUCGUCAAUUUCCCAUUACCUUGGUUUACUGACCUAGGUAGUUGAAACUUUCUCUCUUAGGGAUGACCUGUGUGUCAAGCUUCAGGUCCAUGUCCACUUCAUAGGACACGUCACUGAACUUGCACUCCAAAAGAUUGGUAAACAUAAAGAAAAUAGUUAACGACUAAAUAUGUAGAACAUAGAGAAAACUAGCAUUUAACAAUUUGCUACAUACUGCCAGAAGCCCAAAACCUUCAAAGUUGUUGAGCUACAUUAUAGCAAGGAUUUCCCGUGGAGAAGAAUAGUAUGCCACAGAGGACCAAAUAACAAAUUACCAUUAGCGAGCACCCCGGCUACCAUGUGCUUUAUAUCUUCUUCGCCUUCUUCGCACAUUAUGAAAGGAAAAAUGAAAUAAUGGGCGGGUAGCGUGCUAAAAAUUUUGGUGCUCAAUGUCCCUUUUGGAUUGUUCCCAUGCACUAGGCAUGUUUUGCAUCUACAUGAAUAGAGGGGGCUUAAACCUGUAGGUUUUCCCUCAUUCAUUGUUAGAUGCAUCCUUUAAGGUAAAUUUUUCAGUGAAGGAUUCAGCUAAUUGAUCUAAACUUAGGGACCUUGGUAGUGGAUAUGCAUGAAAAUAAGUUUGAUAGGGCAGAAACUGAAAUAGUUCAGUAAUGGACUCAGUUACUUUGCAGAAAAAUAGAAGAUUUUGAAUUCAACUUCUCUGUCAUGUAGCAAAAUGAAAUAUAAAAAUGUUAUCAUGCUCUGUAGAACUGGAGGUUGUAAAUUUGAAUAUCCGCAGAUUGAAGCUCGAUAAUAUGUUCUAGCUCUUUCAUUUGGCCUUUGUGUCUUAGCCUUGACGUUGGCCUUCUAUCUGAAAUUGAAAGGGUUUAGUGAGGUAUGAGUGAUCAGUAAUUGUCGUUGAAUUCUCCGAGCUAAACGAUGCUAGAGCUAUUAUCUUUUUGGUAGGAAUUUUUAUUAGGAGAAAAGCAACCAUAUUUGUUCUGGAUAAGUAUUAUCCUCAUCAAGCAAAUUUUAUUUCUCAAGCUGUUUAGAUGUGUUGCUUCCCAUCACUAAGUGGUGCAUUAACGUUAAGCACUUAAGUUUGGUCAUCAAAGUUGUUGCUUUUGUGAAUCUUAAUCUUGAUUACCGAUAACGAAUACACUUGUGACAUUGAUUUCUGUACUUGAUAGGGGAUGUUACUUUCAACAAGGUGGAGAAGUUAAUAUGACCAUGAGUAUUGAGACUGCAUACCGGAAGUCAAUUUCGACAUUGGUUGAUUGGAUAGGUCUUGAAGUGAAUAUGACCAAGACACAUGUCGUAUUUCGAACUUAUGCUCCUGUUCACUUCAGGUAUGUCUUGGUCUUCAUCUGUUAAUUGAAGGUGUCUUUUCAUAAGGAAACAUACUAGGUCACUCCUGAAUAAAUUCUUCUGAGAUCUGUUGCUAACUUCAUUGUAUUACAAGUGUUACGAAGAAAUAUAGUUCAGAAUGGUAAUUUAAGUUUAAAAAGAAGCUGAGAAGGUUGACCUUAGAGAUUUUUUCUAGUGGUAAGAGCAUAUAUUAGGUAUGUAUUAAUUGAUUUCAAACCCUGCACAAAAGAAAAGUACUUGAGUAGAGAAUGGAAAGAGAGCAGGUUCAUUAUUUUCCGGGUUUACAACCUAAUUGGCUGUAAUGAACCCAAAUUGCACGCACUCUAAUUGAAAGCCGAGUAAUUUGAUUAUAUCAACAGAGUUAACUGAUCACAAUGGUACUAAAGAAAUAACUAGGCAAUGAAGGAAAGAAAAGGGAAUGAGAACAGGAUUAACCUUAGAAAGGGAUGAGAAGCUCGGAGCUAGCUAGGGGAUAUACUAUAUUUCCUUUUAGCUAGUCAGAUACCCUUUCAAUACCUUUUAUCAACUGGAUCCUAAACCUGGUCCAAUGCCCUUCUGUUGGGCCGUUUCAACCUUUCAUACUUGCUAAAUCCUCUCUGUGCCCAAUCAUAUCAACUUGGUCUUGCCCAUCCGGCAUAUUCACAACGUUAGCUUUCAAGGAUUUCUCUGUUAUCACAAAAAAAGAGAAGAGGAGGGGGAAGAAGAAGAAGCUGAGAAUGUUUUAAGGUUGUGAGGUUCAUAAUCCUUAAUAGCCGCUGGUGGUUGUAUUAAAUGAGGUCUGAGUUGUUAGUGGUAGCGGUUUAACUUUGUGUAUCCUGUAUAGAAAUGGAAUAUAUUGUGUGUACGUCUCACGUAAGGUUGAGAAAACACAGUACAGUUUGUAUGUCUGUCUAUCUGCACGCAAAUCUGGUCAUAUCUCUACCUGAAAUUGGAUUUCCUUUUCUUUACAGCCAGAUUAAGAAAAUAAAAGAUCAAAAGUCGUCCACACUAAUUUGUCGUACUUGUGACAUCUUCUGCAAAUUUUCUCUGAACAUGCAUUUUCAGUCUCAUCGGUUAUGUUCUAAAUUUCUAAUUUCAAACAUGGCAGACUGCCUGCUACUGCGGUAGUUUCAAUUAUCAGAUGACAAGUCUGUUUUUGUAUUUUCAUAUCACGAGCUGGCUUUCCUUGGGUGAAUUGAUUUAGUUAGUAGAUUGGUGUUGUUUCUAAUUCUCUUGACUCGACUCGGUAAUAGCUGCAAUAUAUUUGGUAAUGAUAAUACACAUGCAGAUGAGUUGGUUCAUUGCUUCAUAUACAUUUUAGUUGUUACAACGAACUAAUGAAUCAGCUCAAUGAAUUAGAGGAGGGGACUGGAAGACGGGCGGUAACUGUCAUCUGGAGAAGCUACCUAACAUAGGAUCGUCUCAAGAGUUGCUGAAGGCGUCAUUUGAAUAUAACACUGCAAUUAAGGUGCUGUCGGAGCAACAGAACAAAUCAAAAGCGUGGAAUUUGGAUUUAUUGAAUGUAACAGGGAUGACAUUUCAGAGAAGAGAUGGUCACUCGUCGUUGUAUUACCUAGGUUCUAAGGUUGGACCAGCUCCUCUCCACCGCCAAGACUGCAGCCAUUGGUGUCUCCCCGGUGUCCCUGAUACAUGGAACGAGCUUCUGUAUGCCACCUUCCUCAAACGGGAGCUAGCUCGUGCAAAAUUUUCCAGACAAACAUCUUGAUCUCCCACAGCAUGUUGUCUCCAACAUUUCAAAUGUUACAGCUCGUACCCUAGUACUAUAAUACUGCGAACCUUGGAUAGGACACUCAGAAAAUCCUCAAAUUAAUGGUGCGUUUCUAUGGAGAUUAAAGAUUAGGAAUAUGCCUUUUACAAGAUUAAAUGUGGAAAUAUUUGGGGCAUUGUUUUCUUCAGAGCUGAUGACACAUUUUUGCAGUUGGUAUACUUAGGAGUAAGGAUUAUUUAGAAUCUUUACUUCACCAAAUUACUGGAGUAAUGUACAUAGCAUUGUAUGUUGUAUAGCUGAAGUGACAUUAACCCUUCAUACAAAAUUCUGCAGCAUUUGGUACAAUUGUAAAUACUCUGGCUUGAAUGUUUCCAUUUUGUCCGAUCAAAAUACAUAAGACUCCCUUCUAAAUUUGAAAAUAAUUUAACUAUUGGUACCUAAGAGUUUUGAAAAAAAAAGAAAAAAUCAAAAGAUCCCAAAAUAAUGUUUGACAGGAAAGAAGCAGUGAGAGCAAUUAGUUGAUGGUGGCAAGUGUGUAGUCAAGUUAAUUAAUACCCCCGUUGGACAGUGACGUGAGUCGCGUUUCUUUGUUUUCCCUUGAAAUCGAAUUAUUCUCUUCAGUCAUCAUCUAUAAGUAAAAAGAAGAAUGCAGUUGGUUCGAUGCGAUACAAGCAUGACAAAAAAGAAUUGUGAGUGACCUCCCUUUUAUUUCAUUCAUACACACAAGUAGCAUAAAGAAUCAUGGCAUCCGCGGUUUAAUAUAGAUUUCAUCAAUUGAACUAUAUGCAGAGAAUAGCAAAAACUUUGAUUCUCUUUUUAUCUCCAGAUAGGAUAUUGCUGAUGUUAUAGCAUCUCAUGCAUGGCCAAUUGACGAAUUAUUGGUUUGAAUCAGCAUAGAUAUAUUUGUCAAGAGACCUACGUAUUAAAAAUCUAAUAUAGAAAAAAAAAAAAAGCUAUUAAACCUAUAUGGAGAAAUCCCCUAAACAACAAGACAUUACAUUGUGGAUGUUAUUAUUAUACUAUUAAGCCUAUUGGAAGAAAUCUUCCCCGAACCCGAAAUAAAACUUUUUGAUUAGAGACUAUUAUGUUAUUACUUAAAAAAGAGAUCUUCUAUUUAUAAAACUACAAAAUCCUUCUUCUAAAAAGCCUUUAAGUAACUCUAAUUCUGAUACAAAAUUAGAUAAAACAGAAAAUCGAGGACAAAUGUUAACGUAUACUGUCACUUAAUAAUUAUGCGAGUAGUAGUGUCAGUGAAAAACACAAAAUGGGAGCUAAUAAUUACAGAAAUGGUGGGAGAACUUUGGGUUAUAAGUCGACACGUGUGGACAGGACUUUGAGAAAGCAACAACUAUAAUCUAAGUAUCUCCCAAAUUGGAGCAAUGCCAAAAGGAAAAGGGUUGGCUCCUAUUCAUCAACUUCUAAAUUUGGUCAGCUUUCUAUAGAUAUGGGAGAUGCUCUACUUUCAUUUGGUACUUGCCUGCCCAUGGAAUAUCAUCACUCACAGUUAAAAUAUUUUACUCUUUCUAUCAACUUGAAUUGUUUGUCACACAAUGUGGUGUCAUAUCAUACUUUUAACCCCAACGGGUCGGGAUUAGUUAUCUCGAUAUAUAUAUACUAUGGUGUAAGUGGUAGGAUAAAUGUAUUAAAUAAUAUCUCACACCAAAUAUGGAAUAAAAUAAUCCUUUAUUUUAUCUCUGAACUAUUUAUUCCUUAUACCUCACAUCAGUGGCGGAGCUAAAAUUUUCACCAAGAGAGUUUAAAAUCGAACUAGCCGAAGGGGGUUCAACAUCAAUUAUAUAUAUAUAAAAAGAAUUUUCACUAUAUAAUUUUCCGUCGAAGGGAACCCCCUAAUCAUAAGGUGGCUCCGCCACUGCCUCACAGCUAAUAACCCGAAUUGGAUCAAAAUAGUGUCGAAUAAAGGACAAUUUUAACAAAUAGGUUUGUCAAAUUUUUCAUGACCAAAAUGGUGAAAAUGCAUGGACAUAGAGCCCCUUCAGUGUGCAAUUUUCACGUUAAAAAAAUAAACGAACGUUAGAUAUAUUUACACUGAAGGUGCUCUACUCUCACGAGUCUUCAGUGAAUCUUUUACAUUUUAAGAAAAGACUCAUUGAUAGUUAUGAGCCUUAUGUGAAUUUUACAUUUUGAAGAAAGAUUCAUUCCUUUCAAUGUACCUUCAACAUAAAUUUUAUUAUCUUAAAAUCUGAAAAAACUGUCAUCGUUUGAAUUGAUGGGACAAUAGAAGACCAUUUUUUCACACACUAAAGACUCAUCUGUACAAUGCACUUUCAGUCAAAUUACAAAAACAUUCUUGACUUCAUCUAAACUUUACUAAAAUAAGAGAAAGUCUCUAUCUUUACCUGAGGUCUCUCCUUCUUCACCAUUGUCAUUUUCUUCAAGAUAAAGAAGACCUUACAAGCUUUAUUUAACAUACUAAAAAACAAAGCUUCACAAUAUUAUUUGAAAGAAUGAAAUUUAGAACGUUAAUCAUUAUCGAAAUUAGAAAAAGGUAACUUUACGCUCUCUUUUUUCUUACAUUAGUUGUAGUCACUACUUUUAGAAUUUGUAUAGUAAUCUUUCAUCACAUUUUUUUUUUCAUUAUAUUAUUAUUAUGCUAUUAUUAUUGUUUUUUUUCUUAUAAAAUAGUCUAUAGAAUAUUUUUUAAUUUGAUUUAUUUAAAGUUCUCUUAGAAAUCAGUUAACUUCAUUUUUUAUUUUAAUCUGGCCUUUGUGAUUUUUAAUAAGCUAAUCUUGGUAAAUGUCACUAUUUAGUUUUCCAUUCUCAAUGAUUUUUGAAUUAAAUAAACACAUACUUUAUAUUUUAGGUCUUAUGACACCACCUACUGUGCAUCCGGUUUAUUUAUUUCGAGUGUCCUUGUAGGACAGAUUAGUCAUCGUAGUGAAGAUAUUUGAAAUAAUGGCACAUGUGACACAUUGACAUGUCGUCGGUAUGAUGGUGACUUUUGGGACUACAUAAGUAGAAAUCUAUUACAUGAGUGUGCGUGUCGUUACUUGCUCGAUGCUGAAUUUUAUGGUAUAUAUGCAGCUGGACACACGCCACUUGAUCACGCUAUGAUCACUGCGUUGGUAGAAAGAUGACGAUCAGAAACACACACAUUUCAUUUAAACUUUGGAGAGGCCACAAUUACAUUGCAGGACGUAGCUAUAUUAUACGGGUUGUCAGUCGAUGGGUUAUCUAUGACGGAAAUAGAUCUUACCUUGAACCCUAUAGAGUGGCAAGCACGUAUGGUAGAUAUUCUUGGUUGGGCACCGGUAGAUAUUGAUUGAGAAUUUCAGGAUGGUAGAUUGCUUAUGACUUCUUUGAUUAAACAUAUUACAAAUCUUCCUUUGAUUACUGGUAUGACUUGUGAGGUUGAUGUUCAGCAACGGGUACGUUUGUACUUGUUGUGGAUCAUUGGAAGCAUGCUUGCUGUUGACACAUCGGGUAACAAAGUUAAGUUGAUGUAUCUACAUUUGCUUGCAGAUUUAUCCAAAGUUGAUCAAUAUGCUUGGGGUGCAGCAAUACUUGUAAUACUUUAUCGAUAUCUUUGUUGUGCAUCGCAAAAAGGAAUUAGAGUCAUUGGUGAUUUCUUACCUUUACUUCAGGUUAGCUACUUUAAUUUAUUUCCUUAAAGCAAUGCGUUUUUAAUAUUGAUUUAUUGUAUUUAUAUGAAUAUGUGAAUGUAUGGAUAUAUGAAAGGAUUUUGCCUCUCAGGCCUCAGAGAGAUCCUAAUCUCCUAGUUGACGAGUGACUUAUUUUUAUCCUUCCAGAACCACCAUGUGCUCGCGUGUGAUCUAAUGAGUUAUGCCACGAUACAGAAGCACCUCACCUAUUAUAUUUAUUUUGUGAUCAACUAGAUUUACUUAUAAAAUAUCAGGUACUUUUUACUUUUGAAUAAUUGCUUUAUCUAUUUUUUUAAAAAAAAUUAAGUCAUAAAAACUAACUAAAUUUAUAUGUAUAUAGUUUGUGUAGCAGACAUACCGUUCCGAUGUUUUUGCUACAUUAUCAGAUUAUUGUGUGAAUGAUUCCAGUGUUUGGCAUGCUAUUGUACCUGUAAUAGCUUGGGAUGCAGUUGGGUGGCACUAUCAAUAGAGAUGACUGAUCUACAUCUUUUAAAACUUUUUAUACAAGGUUUAAAUUCCCAGAAUACAUAUUUAAAAAUAUUUAUUUUUGAUGUUGAUUCAUCGGCAUGCAUCCAUUCCACUACAGCUCCUGGAUUAAAAUUUUGAAGUGCAUUCAUGUACAUUGGAAGUUGUGUGAACGAGUGAUCAAAGUCACCAUGCCUUUUUGUAGGAAGAUGUAUGUUUUAAUUCAACCUCAACAAUAGUCUGGACAUCUUUUACCUUGAAUUGAGGGUUAUUCCUUAGGAAAGGCAGCAACAAAGAAGCAAUUAAUUUAGAAUCCAAGUUAAAAUGAUCAGCUUGGAUUACACCCAUUUGACAAGUAUGUCUGUCAUAAUAUUUUUCGACAGUUCAUAAAUUUGUUGGUGUUUUUCGACCUAUGAGCAUCCAAUCACAUCCAGAUUCCCACCUCCUGCACUUAACAGUCCAAUAAUUUUUUUUGAAUUCCCACAUAAUGAACUCUCUAUUAUCCUGCAAACUCCAUAUGUUCUUACUAGGAAACAACUACCCAGACUUAAGAUCCGACUCUUUAUCAUUUAACUAAAUUUUACAUUCAGCACCCUCUGAUUCAUGGGUAGAAGCAUACACCUCUCGACAAUCUUGAAAUCAUUCAGAAAUGAAAUGUUCUCCUUAUGAAAUGGUAUGUUUUAUGACACCUCAAUGACUGAUUGUUGAUCAUCGUCAUUAUUAUCACCAGAGUCACUCAUUUCAUCUGACUGAUAUGUAUCAUUCGGAGCAUCACUGUUAGAAUUGUCAUUCGCAUGAGUAUCAACAUAGGCACUGCUAUAAACCAAACGGGAGAGCCCAACCCAAAAAACUAGUCUAAUAGGUGAGAGAACCCAUUUGGCUUAUAAUUUCCUUAGCAUUUCUCUAUUUUUCCAAUGUAGGAUAAUUGGUUCAUAACAAUUGCUUCCGCUUAAGAACCAACGACCUCGUUGGUAACGGCCGGUACCCCCUCUUAGGUCCAAGGCAACCAUUUCUGGAGCACAAAACAUCACUCCAAGUCGUGGCUCCACGCGUGGAUCGAUCCUCGAUGGUCACAGCGGGCACUCCUCUUGGGUCCAAGCCACCAUUACUGGCACACAGGCCAUCACUACGAGUCACGGCCCAACGCGUGACUCCCCACACGUGGAUCGAUCCUCGUUGGUCACGGCUACAUCCAGUUGGUCACGACUGGCAUCCCUCUUGGGUCCAGGCCACCACUCCUAGCGCGCAAGUCACUACUCCGAGUCACGGCCCUACGCGUGAGACUCUCAAUGGAAGCACCAAUGUUAUAAACCAAACGGGAGAGUCCAACCCAAAAGACGUCCAAUAGGUGAGAGAACUCAUUUGGCUUAUAAUCCCCUUAGCAUUUCUCUAUUUUUUCAAUGUGGGACAAUUGGUUCAUAACGGGCACCAAUUUCUAUCCUAGCUUGUAUUUUAGAAACUCUUAAAAUCUCUAAAAUCUGAGAUAAAUUACUAGUUCCUGCACCAUCUCUAAAAUCAUAAUGACGAUUAUUAUCGACAUCAAAAUUUGCACCAAAAUCAGUACAUACAUGUCCAUAAUUAUCAGAUGAAAUAUCAACUUGUGGUGUUAUACUCUGUGAUAAGAAGCUCGUAAAAUUUUAAAAUUCUGAGAAAUUACUAGUCAUAUUUGUAAAUAGUUUAUAAAAAUCAGAAGGGGGGUCAUUAAGAUUCAAAGAGGGCGUAGCAAAAUUUAAAGAGAGAGAAUUCAAAUUAUGUGUAGGUUCAACAAUAUCUAAUGCUUUAAUAUACAUUUCCAACAAAUCAAUUAGAUUCAUCAUAUAACGCACCGUAUCAGGUGCCACCAUAAACUCUUGCAAAGAUUCAUUAUCAAGUAUGGGGAUUUCAAAAUAACAAGCAUUACCCUGUAUAGUUGAAAAUGGCCAUCUACCCGAAAUAACAAGCCUUAUCUCAUUUGGAUUAGUUUUCAUUCUAAUAUGCAAGUUUCUAACUAGCCAAUCAUACUCAAUAUUUAGUGGAAGUUUAACAACUGCACGAGCAACACAACUAUAUCAAACUGUAUCAGAUUCAUAUAUGACAUCGCCGCCCCAAUACAAUGCAACUCUAACACGACACUCAUUCGACAUUUUUAAACCUGUAAAAAUAACUUUAGUUAUUAAUAAAUUAUUUACUCAAUAGGGAGAGCAAUACACUAAGAAAAAAUUACUAAUCUGUUUUACUCCAAUUCAGAUUGAAGGAUACAUCAACUGUAAAGAAAAUAAUUUUUGUUAAUUUAGUAACAUACAUGACAAUGAAGAGGAUGCACGUAUAUAUAUGAAGAAGACACUCUGCAUAAGAGUGUAUUUUUAAUUUGCUGGAAAGUGCAUUGUUGUCCAUGAGUCUUUAGGAUAUGAAAAAGUUAUCCCUUAUUGUCCAAUCAAUUCAGAAAAUGACAACUUUUUUCAGAUUCUUGAACAGUAAAUUUCAUAGAAGGCUCAUGACGAUUAAUGAGCUUUUCUUUAAAAUGUAAAAAAUUUACUGAAGACUCGUGAGAGUACAGCACUUUCAACGUAAGUAUAUUUUAUUGAGAUGAAGAAGGAGACCUCAGGUAAAGAUAGAGAUUUUGUAAAGUUGAAAUGAAGUGAAGAUAAAUAAUUAUUUUUUGGAGAAAACUCUCAAAGGUGUUUUUGUAACUUGACUGAAGGUGCAUUGUAAAGAUGAGUUUUUAGUGUGUGAAAAAUGGUCUUCUCUUGUCCCAUCAAUUCAGACGAUGACAGUUUUUUAGAUUUCGAGAUAAUAAAAUUUAUAUUGAAGGUGCAUUGAAGGAAAUGAGUCUUUCUUCAAAAAUGUAAAAUUCAUGGAAGGCUCAGUACUACCAAUGAGCCUUUCUUUAAAAUGUGAAAGAUUCACUGAAAACUCAUGAAAGUAGAGCACUUUCAGUGUAAAUAUAUUUAACGUUCGUCUGUUUUUUUAACAUAAAAAUUGCACACUGAAGGUGCUCUAUGUCCAUACAUUUUUAUCUUUUUGGUCAUAAAAAAACUGACAAAUUCAUUUAUUGAAAUCGUCCCUUAUUUGACACUAUUUUGAUCCAAUUCUCCCUAAAGUUACUAAUAAGGGCAGUUUAGUUCAAUUGGUGGAAGAAUAGACCUUUUAAACAUCAACUUUUAAUGAUAAAGACAACUGAAAUUAAAUAUUAGAUGGAAUGAGUGUUCUAUUUUCAAUACGUUAAGGGAGUCGUUGGAUAGUUGGUUAAAGGAGUAAGAGUUACUCUAUGUUAUAAAUCUUGCAUGAAUAAUGAUAUUUCUUUAAUCCAAAAUAAUAAAUUUUUGACUCAAUGCACAUUUAUUACGAAAAAAAAUUAGGACAUGAAUUGUAUUUUACUUUUUUGGAUAUUAUCAAACCACUCUUGAAAUUAUUCAGUCACAUUAAAAUAAAGUCAAUUAGAUUAGUCUCUUUAAGAAUGAACAAUUCACUUAUUUUGGAUAUUGAAAAUUAACUCAAAAAAUCAUUUCUUUUCAAUUAGAGGGAGCAAGUUUUAAUGCUAAAAUUAGUUGAAAUUUUUUUUAUAGGAUAAACUUUAAAGUUGAAUGACCUGACAAAUUUACACUAACACUAUAGUUAUAAUAUCAACGUAUGAUCACCGGUAGUUGAUUGUUUUUAUUUAUUUACUUACCCUCCCCCUUUUGUUUUUUGGUAAAUUGAAAAUAUUAUAAUAAUAAUUAAAGAUUACAAGAAGCAGUACGGAUACUACAGUUCCUAGGAUUUUUACCUUCUUUUAUUGAAAAAAUCUCUUAAUUGAUUCGUUGUUUGCCUGUUUAAUUAUGGAAACUAAUGAUCCGUCAGCUUUUAAUUUUGCUGCAUGUUGUUAAUCUCAUUUUGAUCAAAUGAAAUAUUGAGCAAAUGCUAUAAAGAUUCAGAUAAAAUCACGAGGUAACUUUCUCAUCUCUCACUUUUUUUCUUUAAUUUUAUCUUCACUGAAUUUUCAUUCUUUUUGCUCUCUUGAUGAUUCUAUCCCACAAUCAUUGGGGGACCAAAAUUGAAAACUCGUAUUUGUCGAUACGAGGAUUGGUCUUAGUAAACCGUGUCCAUGAUGUCACACUAUUGGGGAUGUACUAAUCAUCCCAUGGGAUACUUCCUUGGUCGUGCAGCUACACUCACUAGGACCUUACAACAGGGGAAGCUGAACCCAUAUAGCCCAUGGGUGGUUUAGGACGAGGUAGAGAAUGCUUACCACCGUCAAAUAAGGAGUAACAACACUAACUUAACAUAAUGGUGAGUAUUAAGUGGUGGAACAAUUUAUAAUUAUGAUGUCUUAAAAAGACGCAAGAAAAUUAAUUGAAUGUUUCAUGUACUUAGUCAGAUACUCUAAAGAUAAAAAUUAGAAUUUUAUCAAUAACCAACUAACCAAAAGUGUCAUUAAGAAUAUUCUUAUAACUAAGAAUAUUGUCGCUUGGUUCGCAACAUAAUUAGUUAUUCUAGGAUUAUUAUUUGACAAAUUUAUUCUAUCUGAGAGGUAGAAUAAAGUGAAAAAAUUACGUGAAGUAAAAAAUAUUAAGUCAUAAAUUAUAAUUACUAGGCGUUGCUAAUAUUUAAAAUAAUUAUCAUUUGCGGCUAAGGUUAGAUUAAAUAGCUAAAUAUGUCUUUCCUUUGUGUACCUCCGGGCUAAUAUAUACAAAUUUCUAAAGAGAAUUUGUAUUUGCAUAUACAAUCUCUAAUUUGUAUAUUUGUCUUGUAAACUAUAGCUACUUCUUAUAACUAGGCAAACUUCAGCUAUAUAUGGCGCCUUUUUUCAUUUAUUACCAAAUUAAGUUUGGAGCAAAAUUUAUAUUAUACUUUGUUUAGUUGAAAAGGUAGAAAUUUAUCCAGGAUCAAAUGUAUGGAAGUGGAUGGGUAUACGAUUUUAGGAAUAAUGUUUCUGUGGUACCAAUUUCAUGUGAAAUUCAAAAGGACAUAUUACCCAAAUUAAGCCUGUUAAGUGGGCCGGGCUAACCCGGCACACUUAAAGGAACCGGUCUGGUUUGACCCAGCCCGAUAAGUCCUAGGGCUUUAAGGUACCGGGCCGAUUAUUUUUUUAAUUUGGGCCCGGUUAACCCUGUUCGAACCAAGCCCGGUUCAGGCUCGGCCCGAAAUCUUUUUUUUUUAAAUAAAAAAAUUUGGGUUUUGGGCCAAACUAGCCGUUUUUGGGUCCAAACAGCUAGUUUGGACCCAUUACUUUUAAAAAAAAAAAUUACUUUAAAAAUUAUUUUUUAAUCCCUAAAAAAAUUUUAUACCCUACACCUUCAAAUCAUUUUUCACACAAUUUUUCACUCUCUCAAAUCUCAAUUCUCAAUUCUCAAAUAUUCAAUAUUUUUAAUUUCUUAAAGUGUUCACUUUAAUUUUUUAAUUUUGUAUUUACAAAGUACGAGCGGAAAUUUCUAAAGUCACAACCUUCGGAUACUUCCAAAAUUUGGCGUUGUCGUUCCAUCUCUUACGUUUAAUUUUUAUUUAUUGUAUUAAUUGUUUAAUAUUUAAUUGUAUUAUAUUUGUGUAUUUUAAAUUUUUUUAGUUUAAUUAUGUAGAAGCUAAGGAAAAUUACGGUAUAGAAGAAAAAAAUGAAGUAGAUGCGGUUAAUUUAAACGAAGAUAAUGAAAAUAUUGGUGAGACACCCGCAGUAGAAAAUGCUAACGUUAGAUCUGAAUCGGUUAAUCUCCCUCCCCGUCCUCCCCGUGCCCCAAGACCUCGUAAAACAAUUAGUGUUGUAUGAAAAUUUUUGAACGUAUAUCAGAUACUGAGGUGCAAUGCAAUAUUUGUCAACAAAUAUAUAAGCAUAGAAGCGGAGGCAAGUAAGGGGGUACGGGUAUGUUAAUGAGACAUAUAAGUGAAGCUCACGAAAGAGAGUUAAAUAUUGCACGAGGUGGUGGGGAUGUUGGUGGGACAACACAAGCUAGAAUGAACCCAACAACCGAUCAGGUAACGAAGAAGUAUAAUAAAUUGAGGGACCGGGAAGAAAUAGCUAAAAUGGUAGCUAUGGGUUAUUUGCCUUUUAGUUUUCCUUCUUCUGAUGCCUUUAUUCAUUAUAUACAAGCAAUUUAUAAUCCUAUGUUUAACGGUAUUCCUAGAAGUACUUGUUGGUCUGAUAUUUUUAGACUUCAUUCACAAUAUUAUUUUUAUUUAUCAACAUUGUUAAAAAAUAUUCAAUGUAGAUUGUCCCUAACUUCUGAUCUUGGGCGUGUUGUAAAUAAAAAUGAUUAUUUAACCGUUACUUGUCACUGGAUGAAUAGUAAUUUUGUGAUGCAAAAAUAUAUUCUUGCUCUUUUAUAUGAUGAAGAUCGUAAACAUACUGGACAGUUUAUUAUUGAUUCUAUUGUUAAAGUUGUUGGAUAUUAUGAUAUCAAAAAUAAAAUUUUAUGUAUUGCUUUUGUUAAUACUUCUAACAGCAAGACUACUAUAAAAAAACUAAAAUCUACGCUAUCUCCGCCAUUGCCUGAAAUUUUUCAUAUUAAGUAUGCAUGUUAUAUAUAUAAUUUAAUUGUAAAAGAUGGUCUUGAUUUUUUUGAGGUUUAUAUUGAAAAAAAUGAUUUUGUUGUUGGUUUUAUUCAAGAAAAUAAUCGUAGAUCGAGAAUUAGAGAAUUUAAAGUUAAAUGUCAAUAAAAUGGACUUACACCGAUAUUGAUGCCUGGGGAAAUUGAUAUUAGAUGGAAUUCUACGUAUGAUUUUUUAAAAACUUGUUAUAAUAUAGAAUUCCUAUUACACUAGCUUUUAACCAACAUUGCGGUUCAUUUGUUAAUUCUGCUGAUUGCAUGCUACAUGAUUUUGAUUGGGUUGUAAUUAUUGAUAUUAUUAAGUUUUUAGAAAAAUUUUAUGUAGCUACAGUUGAAUUUUCCGGUGCUUAUUAUCCUACUGUUUGUAAUAUUUUGGCAUAUAUAGCCAAUAUUUCUGAUUUGCUUAAAGAAUAUAAAAAUAAAGAAGGUUCUAAAGAAGCUGUUGGUGUCAUGUUUACCAAAUUUUAAAAAUAUUUUUUUUCGAUUCCCCCUAUUUACUUGGUUGGUGCUAUGCUAAAUCCGUGCAUGAAAUAUAAUAAUAUGUGUUACUUUAGUACUAUUAUUUAUACUAACGUAGAAAUAAAUAUUAACAAUGAUUCUGAACAAGUACAACCUGAUUUGCGGACGGCUAUGAGUGAUGCAAAUGAAUACAUAGAAAAAUUAUAUAAUCACUAUAUUGAUUUAUUUGAUUUAGCCGUACCUACAAAUAUCACUCCAACUGUCGCUCCUCAUCCUCCCGAGGAGCCAUCAUCUUUUAAAAGACCGGCACAUAAUGGUUUUUCUGAUUCUUUUUAUGAUUUAACUUGUUGAAACAGUGUUGAUGAGAGAGCUUACACAUCAACUUAUCGGGAAGAAUUGAAAUAUUAUCUUCGAUUGCUGCCAGAGGAUCGCAGACUACGAAUCAACACGUUGGAUUGGUGGAGGAGUAAUGAAACACAAUAUCUUGUGCUUUCAAGAUUAGCUAGAGAUAUCUUGAAUGUUCCAAUGUCAACCGUUGCAUCAGAGAGCGCCUUUAGUCAGGGACGAAGCAGCUUGGGAGACAACCNNNNNNNNNNNNNNNNNNNNNNNNNNNNNNNNNNNNNNNNNNNNNNNNNNNNNNNNNNNNNNNNNNNNNNNNNNNNNNNNNNNNNNNNNNNNNNNNNNNNNNNNNNNNNNNNNNNNNNNNNNNNNNNNNNNNNNNNNNNNNNNNNNNNNNNNNNNNNNNNNNNNNNNNNNNNNNNNNNNNNNNNNNNNNNNNNNNNNNNNNNNNNNNNNNNNNNNNNNNNNNNNNNNNNNNNNNNNNNNNNNNNNNNNNNNNNNNNNNNNNNNNNNNNNNNNNNNNNNNNNNNNNNNNNNNNNNNNNNNNNNNNNNNNNNNNNNNNNNNNNNNNNNNNNNNNNNNNNNNNNNNNNNNNNNNNNNNNNNNNNNNNNNNNNNNNNNNNNNNNNNNNNNNNNNNNNNNNNNNNNNNNNNNNNNNNNNNNNNNNNNNNNNNNNNNNNNNNNNNNNNNNNNNNNNNNNNNNNNNNNNNNNNNNNNNNNNNNNNNNNNNNNNNNNNNNNNNNNNNNNNNNNNNNNNNNNNNNNNNNNNNNNNNNNNNNNNNNNNNNNNNNNNNNNNNNNNNNNNNNNNNNNNNNNNNNNNNNNNNNNNNNNNNNNNNNNNNNNNNNNNNNNNNNNNNNNNNNNNNNNNNNNNNNNNNNNNNNNNNNNNNNNNNNNNNNNNNNNNNNNNNNNNNNNNNNNNNNNNNNNNNNNNNNNNNNNNNNNNNNNNNNNNNNNNNNNNNNNNNNNNNNNNNNNNNNNNNNNNNNNNNNNNNNNNNNNNNNNNNNNNNNNNNNNNNNNNNNNNNNNNNNNNNNNNNNNNNNNNNNNNNNNNNNNNNNNNNNNNNNNNNNNNNNNNNNNNNNNNNNNNNNNNNNNNNNNNNNNNNNNNNNNNNNNNNNNNNNNNNNNNNNNNNNNNNNNNNNNNNNNNNNNNNNNNNNNNNNNNNNNNNNNNNNNNNNNNNNNNNNNNNNNNNNNNNNNNNNNNNNNNNNNNNNNNNNNNNNNNNNNNNUGUGUAUAUAUCUUCUAUAGACGUGUAUAUUUAACAUAUACAUGUGUAUAUACUUUAUAAGUUAGUAUAUAACUAUAUACAUAUAUAUAUUGUAGUAUAUUUUAUUUAGACUUUAAAGUAGUACAUAUAUAUUGAAUGGUGCGUAUAUAUGUGUAAUUGUGUAUAUGUGUAUAUAUUUUUUAAAUUCUAAUGUAGUAUAUACUAUAUAUAUAGUGUAUAUAUAUUGUUUAACGUAUUUAUAAUGUAUAUAGGUGGGUAUAUAUAAUGUAUAUUGAAAAAAAAAAUUAUAUAUUUUUGACCGGGUUUAACCGAUUUUUUAGUUGGGUUUGACGGGGUUUAGGUGGGUUUGACCAGGUUGGGUUAAGUGGGCCGGGUUAGGAUUGUUUUUAAUUUUUUUACUGUUGAGCCUGGCCCACUUAGACCCCCCACAACCUGGUUAAUUCAAACAGGCCGAUUCCGAGUUGGUCUAGCCCAGCGCACAUGACAGCCUUAACCCAAAUACUUGCAGCCUUAACAUGCCAUUUCACAAAUAAAUGAGUUAUAGUAGCAGCAUCUAUGCAUGUGCACAACUUCCAUAUUUUGCUCGCUUUCUCAUUAAUUUCAGGUGGACCAUAGUAAGACAUUUCUGUUAAUUAGAAAUAUAUAGCUCACAUAGAAUAAUGAAGAUGGACCACUUGUUUUUUACCAGUCCCUUCAAGCUCUGGUAUAGGAAUAUAUAUGGAUACCUCUGCCUAGCUAGCGGCAUGAGAGUGGCUUAUAUAUGCAGAAUUUUACUUGAUACAAACCUGAUUGAUUAAAACUCAGUAACGUUAAUCUAAAUUAUGUAUAUUUGUUGAGAAAUUUAUCGAAUUUGUACGUAAGAUAAACUUCAAAGUGCAUAAACCUCAAAUCAGUAACUCAUUAACUUUAAAUUUUGAAUUCGCCCUUGAACAUGAAGUGAUGCCGGACAUAUAAAAAAUCUCUGAGCACAUCCAAAGCAGUAACUAAUGACAGUCUCAACUUCAAUUGAAUUAAGAUGCUUUAGUGCUCUUUAAAGAAACGAAGUUUGUGAGAAAGAUUCAGUGUAACUAGAUCUGGAUUCGUGGUUUAUAUUUCAUAUAAAUGUCAUAUUCUUAUCCAUUAAUAAAUAGUUUUAACUUUAAUUUGUGAAAAAGAGUUGUUGUGAUAAUUUCGGAAGGAUUAUGAUGGGAAUGCCAAUUGUAACGAAUUAUGAUUUUACUAACUCAGGAGUUGUUAAUCCAUUUUAUGUGCUUAAACGAACAUUUCAUAUUUUGAACCAGCAACAAAAACACAAGAUUUUGCUAGUUUUGAAAAAUUGUUAAAGUGGAAAUGUGGAAUCACUAGGUAGGCCUUUACCCCUUUCUAGACAAUUUAUUUCUUUAAGAACUUCCCUUUAUUGUCAAAAGGAAACCUCAACCAUCAAUAGAGAAUUACAGAAAUAGCCUCUUGUGUUUAAAGGUUAAUGUUAAAUAUUCUUGACAAAUUUUACAUGUUCUUUAUGUUUCAUUAGCAGCAUUAAUUAAGAAGUGUACAUUGGAAGGAUAAUUUUAGAUUAGGACAAAGUUAGAGUUAUAUAUUCCUCUAAUUUCUCCUGGUGAAACACGACAUUAGUGUAAUUUCGUUUAAAAUGUUUAACGGGAAUUCAUAAAAGCUGUUUCAUAGUGGAACUUUUCCUCUUACUAAAAGAUGUACUGUAUAUCUGUUGAUCUUCUCUAUGACUAUAUAUACUGUGUGAUUGAUUAAUUGUGUGCUUUUAAUCGAUUGUUCAUUUCUUAUAAUAGCUAUUAUAUCUAUUUUAUUUUAUGUGUCACUAUUUGAUGUUGUAUAGCUACAUCAACGUUAAAGCAUAUCUUGGACUUGGAGCGCACUUUCUAAAAAUCUUCCUCUUUUUUUUCUUAGCUCAGUCAAAUACUAUACCACAUUAUAUGUGACGAAAAGAGUAUUUUUUUUUUUUUGGGCAGUAGGAGCUUGAAGUACGAUAGUGCACUUGCAUGUACCAUCAAAUACUUCAUGAACUCUCUUAGCUUCUCCUCCUCCGUGGGUCAAAAGAAAAAGGACAGUUAUGGCAGUUGGUUCAUGAUGAAUGGAACUUGAUCACUUACUCAAUUGGGCAAUAUUUUGUACCAAUAUUGGAAGUUAUUUAUGUUUGGAAAUGAAUUUCACUUACAAAAAAUAUUUACAAGUGAAGACUAAUAUUUUACCUGAAAUUAAAUACCCAGCAAAAUAGCUUUUAAAUAUUUCACGAUUACUGAAAUUCAGUACUAUUUGCACUUAUUACCAAACUUUUCAGUAUGCAAUAAUAAUAUGCUAUAUAGAAACGUUCCAUCCCAACUAAUGCAUCUUAAUCAAACACAAAUGGACAAUAUAUUAUAUAUAAUAGUAUAUCAAUAAGCACAAUAAUUACCCUUAUAAAUUCUAGUAGUUAGAUUACAAUAGAAAAGCAUAAUAAUAAGCCAAAAUACAUCAAUAAGCAUAUAGGAAAAGGAUCCCAACUUGGUAUCCUUUUGAUCCUACUCCCAUUUUCCUUGCACUUGCUUGGUCUUACGUACCCAUUUUCACUUACUAAUUUUCUAUCACAAUCAUCAAUAUUUUCAUCAUGUUCAGUAUUAUUAUUCAACAAAGAAAGCCUAAGCCUCCCGUCAACGCGUUCUGCUUUGAAGUAAGGCUUAGGAGCACUGACAGUCGUGGCUUUCAAGAUCAAACGUCCACCUUCGCGGUGAGGCCUCAUCACUUGGACACCAUUCGUUCGACUAAGGGAAGGCAUAGGAGGAGGAAAACUAGUUGUUAUCCUGUCACGUUUUUUGCCUAGCUCCUUACAUUUGGAUCGCGGAGCUAGAUGUGAAUUAUUAUUCUCGCUUUCUGAUAAGAAAAACGAGUGUUCCUCAAUGCUUUCGCUAAUGUCACUGCCUGUUUCGCUCCCUAAGCUCUCAGUACACAUCUCCAAGCUUUUGAUGCUAAGGGUGUUAGAAGAGCGCUUCACCGUAGGGUGAACGUACUCUUCUUUCUCUUCAUAAUCAUCUUUUUUCGGGUUAGAAAGAUCUUGUAUGAAACUCCAACCACCAAUACUGUUAUCAACAUUGCUGUGCUGCUCAGACAAUCCAUCAUCUCCUGUUUCUGUCUUUUUCAAAGACGUAUUAGAUUGGGAAAAAAUUAAUCUAGGAGGACAUGAUUUGCUUAUUAGAAAAUAAUGUUGGUGAGGUAGUUGUGGCUCCAUGCAGGAUUGCAAACCCUGAUAGAAAGUUGAGGUUGAGCCCAUGUUGUUGUUGUUGUCUUUGAACAAAUACUAUGAAACAGAGGAACAAAACAGAAGAUUUUUUUACUAAUUAUAAUUUACGUACGUACGUUUAGAAUGAGGAUAAAGAUUCUUACUCAGUACGAUGAUAGUGAAAGAAUAGAGGAUUGGCUCUACUACUUCACUAGUUUAAUAUUAAUAACCAAAAAGUAUUGGAAUUAAGUAAUAGAGGAAGAAGCAAAUUAGAGUGAUAGAAUGGAAGAGAAGUGAAAGGGCUAGGGUUGAAUUUAUAGAAACAAAAAAGUAGUAACCAACUUGAGAAUAGUCAAGUGGUUAAGAAUUUUACUUUUGUUUUCAAUUUAAGUGGGUAAGUAUGGGUAAUUGGUCUCUUUAUAUGAUUUGGAAAAUCCUUCCCUCAUGAGUUAGUUUUUGAGGUUGAGUUAAGCUCAAAAUCUAUUCUUUACAUGGUAUUAGAGUCAGCCACAUCCCAAGUCUUUGUUCACCAAUAUUGGGCCCCCAUAUCAUAUUGUACACGCUCCAGUUAACAAGAUCUGGGCAUGUGGGGGAGUGUUUAAGUAUCCCACAUCGAAAGAGGGAUCGGUAAUUAGUCUCAAUCCUCCCCUCACGAGCUAGCUCACGCUCCAGUUAACAAGGUUUGAGCCUCACGAGCUAACUUUUGAGAUUGAGUUAGGCCCAAGAUCCAUGAUCUUUACAGUGUUUAGACUAGACUGAGCGUUUAAGAAAAAGAAAGAUUUUUAGAACUUACAAUAUUAAAUAGUAUGAUACGAUAGUUAUAUGGUAGUAAAAUGUGUUAUUACAAAAUAAAAAAAUUAAAUUAAAUCAUUUUCAAAUGUGAAAUAUAUCAUUUUAUUUGAAAUAAAUUGUGGUUAUGAGUUCCAAAUUUUAAUUAUGAUCAUGGAAUUCCUUUUGGAUUGUCUAUAUUCCUACCUAUGGAAAAGCUAAAAAAAUAAAAAUGUUUGGCUAUAGUUGUGAGAGAGGUAGAUAGGAUGAUGGAAAGAGUAGGAACAGACUUGAUGCCACCGAAUUAUUUAGCUUUGGAUUUAAGUUAUAUAUGCAUGCAUAAUGUAAAAGAAUUUUUACAUCAUCAAAUUUUAAUUAUUUUUCUAUUUCAAGUUACCUGGCACACUUCAAUUUUUGAGACAGUAAAUCAGAUAUAAAAGUCUUAAAAAAAAAUUUACAUCUUUUAAAACUAUAUAAAAUUAAAUAAUGCUUACAUAAAUUAGAACGAAAACUAUGGGUCAUUUUUAUAUGUUAUCUUCAUAUUUUCUAAAUCUAUAUCUAUAUCUAUAAUGUAUUAAAAGUGUGAAUACCCUUAGAAAAGUGAUUUGAAUUUUUUGUCCUUCGUUAAAAGUUUCCACAAUUGAUAAAAUGGUCAUUUUACUAUUUUUAUAGAAUUAUUAUUUAAUUAUAUUUAUUAUAUUCUAAAUAAGUAGUCCUAAAAUAUAUGGUAAGUUUUAAAAAGUAAGGGGUAUUAAAAUAUAUGAUACAACACCAUAUAUGGUAAACACAAUCUAUGGUAUGAAUUAUUAGAAAAUUAAAAAUUGUUGAAUACUAAAAUAUAUGGAAAAAAGAGACGAAAAUCUUGAGAAAAAAGGUACACGGUUUUUAAGAUCAAAGUACACCUUAAUGACUAAGUAGAUUGUUCCUUUUUCCCCAUGUAAUUAUCCUUAAAUUUUUGGGUAAAUAUUUUUUAAUAAUUAAUAAUAUUAUUAACUUCUUAAGAUUUGAUUAUUUAUUCUAUGUAAGAAAUCAUAAUAUUUAAUACUUCUAAAUUAAUUAAAAUUUUAUCUUAUAUAAAAAAAAUUGUGCAAUCCUAUUUAAGCAAUAUUUUGAAUUAAAAUUUACAAGAAACUUAUUCUACUUCACUUUUUCCUCUUAUUUUGAUUUUAAUUUCAAUUAUCUUGUUGCAUUUAUAUUUAUAAUCUUUUGUUCUUGUAUGCAACAUAGUCAAAUUAAUUUUAAUGUGGGAACUAAAUUUUUUUUCUUUUAAGUUUUACUUGAAUUGAUUUUUUUUUAUCUGAGUUAUUAGUAUGAAUAAGUUGUUUUUUCUUUGUAAAAUUAUUACCUUGUUCAAUUAAUAUAUGAAUAAAUCUAUAUAAAUCAUUAUUAAUUAAUUCUUUAAUAUUUUUGUAGAGGAGAAGAAGGAUUCACGAGGAGCAUGAUAUUGGGACUUCUUCGAUUUGACUUAAAGAAUCUCAAUUCCAACAGGAACGUAUUAAAAAUAUAAUAUAUGUAUAUGAAAGAAAGAUAUGCUAUCACGGACAUGCGAAAAUUAGCUAGUAAGAUGCAGUUUCAAAUAUCUGAAGAAAGCUCCUAGGUUAAGCUAGAAGUGUCAAGUGACGUGUAUUAGUUGGUCAGAGCCUUGCUACCAAAAUAACAAAGAAAUUCAAGGAGAAGAGUUAUGAAAGUUAUAGUGGUGUCACCUCAGUCCUCAGGCUUGACUUCAGGUUUGAUCUUCUUCCUAUACAAGUACACUAUCCUUUUUUUAAUUAUUUAUUGGUGUUUUAUUUUUGUCGCACAACUAUUAUACUCGAGAUUCUAUGAGGUAUUGCAUCUGAAGUUAGAAAGUUGAGUUGUUAUGUUUCAGGUUAUGUUUUUUGGUAAUUUGUGCAUCUGCUUUAUGACUAUUCAAACUUAUAAGUUGUUCUUUUGCCUCUUUUUUUUUUUUUACUUAUCGGUUUAGGAUUUUUCGAAAGUCAACGCUUUCUAGCUAAAUUAUUGAGAAAAUGAUGGCUUUAGAUUGGAGUAGUAACUAUUAAAUCAUUAUUGUUAUAAAUUUUUUAUAUGUAUUUAUGUUUUUUGGUGGUUUUGUUUAUCACAAGUAUAAAAGUGCAUUAACAAUUAUUUUUGAAAAAGAGUCUGCAAAUACAUAGAAAGGAAUUUAAGUUUUUUAAGAGAUAUUUGGCCAUGAAAAUAUUUUCUUUUUUGGAGUUGAAUUUCAAAAUAAAAUUUUAAAAUGUUGAUGUUUUUUAGCAACUAAUAAAUAUGAUUGGGAUCCAUGUCAACUCUCAUUACCAAGGAAGGAAAAAUCUAAAUUGAUUGAUUGAUCAAAUAAAUUAUUGAUGGACUAACUAAGUUGAUUAUUGAGUGACAUGAACAAGACUUGAUUUAGCAUUGUCGCAAAUCAACUUUCUUCGUCAUUGGAAAUUUCACUAUUAUUAUUCCAUUUUCUAUCGUAGUUUUCUAUUUAUUUCUUUUAUCUUAUUUAUUUUCAUUAGUUGAUGAAAUUUAGCGCUAAUUAAAAACUCUUUACGUUUAUCUGUUUAUCUCUAUAAUAGUCUAAAUGUGCAAAGGUAAAUUAAUAAUUUCAAAAUUUAAGAAGUGAAACAUUUCAGCCAUAAAUCUAUUCAUGGUAAAGUUUUUAUGUGAAAUUUACUGAAAAGAACAAGUGGACCAAAUAUUUAAUGUCUAAAAAGAAUCUUUUUAUGCAUAGAGAAAUCUUUGAAUAGAAUUAUAAUAUCUUAACUAAAUAUUUAAAUAUAAUUAUAACUAAACUAGCUAAUAAUUCAUUAAAAAAUAUUAAACUAAAGUUAACUAAUAUUAAUUAAACACUCAAAAAGGUAGAAGGAAUAUUUUGAAUAUAAUUAUAGCUAUUAUUUACACGUAGCAUGAGCCGAUAUUUUAAAAAAUGAAAUAAAAAAAAUUAUUUAUAAGAAUAGUCAUUUGAUUAUUUUUCUAAUAAUUAUACACAACUAUUUUAAAAAAUAUUUAGCACUUUAAUUUUUUAAUAAUUUUUUGUUUAUAAUUCCUCCAUAUCCUAAUUAACUACAAAAAUCAACUGAAACUUUGUUAGAAAUAUUAAAUUUCAAUAACUUUCAGUUUACCCUAGGAAAGUUUCAACUGAUUGUAUUAUCCUUUUAGGUUCGUAUGACGUUUUAUUUUUUUUACUAAAAUUUUAUCUUAUUAAUAUAUAUAAUUAUAUGCAAAAUACAACUUUCUUACAAAAUAUUAACAAAAUGACAUUCACAUUUUUUAUUUUUUUGUAACUUUUAACUUAGUAACUUAAGACCGGUGAAUAAAGCAUUAACUAUAGAAAAUCGACGGAGGAAAAAAAAAACAAAGAGUUAAAACACUCAAGUUUUUGUAGAUACAAAAUUUUAAAGUUAUAUGUUCUAUUGAUUUUCUUAUCAUUUUUUAAAAAUAGAAAGAGAUAGAAAGAAUUAUGAUUGACAAGAGUAAACAUCAAUAUCUUUAUUUAAAACUUUGAAAGUUCAGAAAUAUUUAUUUAUUUUUAUUUUUUUUAUACAUGCAAUUUUCUUUUUUAGCAUUGAAUACAUGUAUAACGCACGUAUACUAAACUAGUUACAAUAAAAUUUUCUAUGCGGAAUUACUAUAUUAAUAUUUGUAUUAUAAGUUUACUUAAUGUGAGGGUGUACGAGAUGUACGUAGGAAAGGUACAAGCAAAAGUCGAAAUAAGAUGGUCAUUGCUUCUCUUUCGUGCUUUCGCUUUUUCCCUUUCCUUUUUUUUUUUAAAAAAAAAAAUUAUUGUAGGUAGAAAACAUAGAUAUUGGCUCUUUAGUAGUGGCAGGAUUAGGGUGGUUGAUAUGAGCUAUAAGAUAUAAUAAUUUUAAGAUAAAAUGUAAAAUUAUUUUAGUUUAUAUUUGAAUGAAGGUAUUAGCUAGUCUCACGAUUAUUUAUCUCACUACUUAUAUGUUAAUGAUGGGAUAAGCUAUUCUAUAUACUUGAUUGAAAAAACUAAUUCAAAAUUAUUUAUUCCCGUAUAACUUAUUUCCAACCAAAUGAUCCUAAGUAUCUGCGGAUUUAAUCGGUGCUUGACCAUGAAUAUUAUUUAUAACAUUUCGAAAUAUGUUUUCAAUUUAUUUCAAACAUUUGUUUGGCCAUAAAUAUUUUGAAAUACGUUUUCACAAUUUAUGCAUUUUUUAAAAGCACCUCAAGAGGUGUUUUCACUAUUUUUGGAUUCAGGUUUUGCACUUUUAAAUUUAUUUUUUUUUUCAAAAAAACAAUCUAAUUUUUUUCGUAAAAUAACCCAAUUUUCAUAAAAUUCUAUUAAAAAAAAAGAUAAUUUUAUUUUUACUUUUUAUAUUCUUUUAACUUUCAAAAAUAUCUCAUUUCUAGAAUAUUAUGGUCAAACAUAAUUCCAACUUUAUUUUUAACUUCAAAAAUAUCAAAUAAAGUGAAUUUUGUUUUUAUUUUUCAUGGUCAAAUGAAUCCUUAGCUGAACUCGGUAAUUUUAUUUAAAUUCAUUGACAUAUUAAAAUAUGUGCAUAACCAAAUCAUUUUAAAGGUAAUUAUAGACAUAUCGCUUCUUUGUAAUGCGUAAAACAAAUAAAAGAAUCAUUACAUAAACAAAAUUGAAGAAUCAAGAAAGCAUUUUUCUUAAGUAUACAUUAUUUCAAUAUGUUGUCAAAUGUCUUUUAAACCAAUCGAGCACAUAAUAACCUCUUUAACACAUGCCCCGCCAAAAAAAAGUUAGGAGUUUUAAAAUAUUUUCUUAAAGGACACACAAACAUUAAAUUACAUAAAAAAUAAAAGGUACCAUAUUACUGAACAAAUGGAUCAUAAUUAUUCUUCUUUUCAUUUUCUCCUUAUUCUUCUACUCUUCUUUUCUCUUUAAUUAUUUUUUAAAAAAGAAUUUUACACAUGCUAAACAGAAUUUUGUGCCCUGUCUGGGGCACACCACACACACAAACAAAAAACAACAUAAACUGCUUUAUGUUUAUAGAAACGUGCAGCAGCUCGAAGAAAAUCAACACUUGUUAAAAAGACUAGUAUGAUUAUGACUAAACUUUAAUUAUAAAAUCACCACAUGUCAGAAAACUACUAUGAUUGUGAUUAAGAUUAUUUUAAAAGCUAGUAGGUUCUUUAGAAUUAGGUGCCACAAAAGGAUGAUCUGAUUAAUAACACAUUAUCUGGUUGGCUCAUUAAUAUACAGUACUUAACCUAUAAGGAGCAGGCAAUUUUCUUUAUCUCUCAUUCAGUGCUUUGUUUCUUAUUUUUCCUUAACCUUUUUGUCCAGUACACUGUACCUAAUCUAAUCAGUCUUUGGUUCUAGAAAUUUAUCAUCACAAGUGUUUGUAUGGUAAUGUUUCAAAGGCGAAUUCAUGAUUUAAAUCGUAAAUAAAAUUAUACACGCUAUUCUUUAAUUUUGUGACUAGAGCAAAACUUAAUUAGUAUUGAUAUUAUUCUUCGAAAGAAAAAAAGAAUUCAUAUCAUAUAUGGACUCCCUCCGUUUUAUAUUAGUUUAACCUUAUUGACUUGGUAGUUGGCAUAUCCCUUAAAAUACUUUUUAUUAUAGAUGCAUUUUAUUAAACUAACGUUAUUAAUGAUGUUUUGAAAGUCAAAAUUUGACCACUAUUAUUUUAUGCAACUAUUUUUAUACUAUAUGGCUAGUAUUGGGGGAGAAAAAUACUAAAACUCUCUUGUUUUGUUAAAAUAGACAAGUAUAAUGAAGCAUCUAUUUUGAUACACAUAGGGGCCAAAUAAAAUAAAACGCGGGAAUACAAAAGUUUUAGUGGAAAGCAAAUCUGCACUCACUGUGUACAUUAAUUCAUCUAAGUUUGAUUUGUGCUUGUGUUUACACUCAAGUGGUACAUUACGUGUACUACCAUUGCUUUUACAAUCUUGACCUCGAACCAUAUAAUAACAAAAGGAAAAAAAAAAAAAAGAAAUAGAGAGCAAUAUGAUUAUCGUGAGGACCUUGGAACAGGAACGUCACCCUUUAUUUGUUAGUACUUGGUAUAUGUCCAUAUGAUAAAGUGCUGCUUGUUUAGAAGAGGACAUUAUUACUGUACUUGAAAAUGAUGUUACUUCAAUAACUUGUAGAUUUGGAAUAGAAAUUAUAUGUCCCUGCCAAAAAUAAAGGAAAAGAUUUCAAAAGAGAGGGGUGGAGAUUAAACUGCAAAAAAACAAGGUAAAUCUGGUCAUAUAAUUUCCAAUUUAUUUGCAAUUAUUUACCUUAUUCACUUGAUUAUUACCAGCUUGUAUAUGUAAUAUUAUGACAUUAAUGAUCCUGAUUCUUUGUUGUUGGAUCUAUUGUACUUGAGCUGAGGAUCUUUCAGAAUUAAAUAUCUCCACGAGGUAGUGAUAUGUGGUCUGCAUACAUUCUACCCUUCCCAAAUCUUAUCCUACUUGUGUAUGAAAUUUACAAUCCAAUAUACUUUUCUUGGUUGUAAGAUCAUUAUUAAAUAAUUAUAGAGAGGUUCAAGAAAGAAUAAAUAAGUGGUACUAAGAAACAAAAAAUAACCGGCAAACGUAAAAUUACUAGAUCACGGUUCUACAACUAAAUGACAAGAUAAUCUGCCUUUUUGAUAUUUGCUACUGAUUCAUUUUCUUUAGAGAUUUGUCUCAUAUUAGCCGACCAUUGCUUAAUAUACUUUCCUAAAGCCUCAUUAUUGUUAAAAAGAAUUUGGAAUACGAAAAAAUAUCCUUAUAUUUAUGAUUUUAAAAAUGAAAUGUUAUUUCAAAGACCGUAAAAACAUGUUACUUAGUAAAGUGUAAGGUAAAAUGUGAAGUUUGAAGUUUAGUAAAUUCACAAAAAGAUAUUGAACGUGUCACUCGUUUUUAAAUAGACUAAAGAAGAAUGAGUGUCACAUGAAAUUGAACAGUUACAAGGCUCACCAUCACAUGGAGUGUAUGUGUUUUACUAUGGACACAGCACAUUAUGUGAAAGGUCUGGUUACACUGAUAACCCUUUACAUGAUAUGGUAGCAAUAGACUUGCUUCCCUUUAUGCACCUGCUCUGCAUUUCAUUUCACAUAUGCAGAGAAUUUGAACAUAGAUUUCAGUCGAAUAUCGUCUAAUUUACUGGACUUGGAGCGUACUGAUAUACAUGACAAUAUACAUCACCAACUCAGCACCUCCAUAUAGGAGGUAGAGAACUAAAGUUGGAAUGUUUCGGCCAAGUCCAGCUAAUGGAAUUGUAGCCAAACUAUGAUUUAGUUGUCUGCAGAUAAAAGUUACAACCCACAAUUAAGAACCUAAGUCGUCAUUUCUGUAUGAUUUAGCUUGUCUGUCAUUAAUGGAACUCAAGAACCAAUUACACCAUACGUAGCUUCAUUGAAUAGGUCCGGUGAUAUAUAGCUUUCUAGCUUGCAAGCAUUUCUGAACCACCCCAAAGUUCACAUGAAAGAUGCAACAGCUUCCUGGGUUUUUCCCGUCUAAGAACUGAAAUGUUGAUUUAGAGAAGCUUCCAAGAACUUUCCAUAACUUUAAGUGACAUACAUGAAAGCACAAGAAGGAGGUCUGAAUCGCACACGUCUACCUGGGUGGCCGCUCUAGUGCUAUCCAACCAAAUUUCCCUUUCCGGAAAUCUUGCAAGAUACGAAAUGCUGCUUGGUUAUUGUCUGCAUUAAAUAACUGAACAGCGAGCUUCUGAACAAAUCUGCAACAAAAACAAACGAAGAUCAAAAUGGAACUAUGGAACAAACCCUACAGGGGAACCCAUUAUUCCAGUUGCAUCCCUUGGGUAUAAUUUGUCAUACGCACAUUUUACCGCAGCAUCCAUCUGCCUCAAUCUUGUAGCGGUCACAAAGAGCUUUAUUACCUGGUCAGAGUGACUUAUGUCAGAAAAAUAUAAUGCUGCAUGCAUACAAGCAGAUUAAAAUGAACUACUGUAUUUAGGGGCAGCUAGUCUCUAAUGCAAAUGGAUGGUUACAUGCGAAAGGCUCAAAGUGCAUUCUGAGGUACAAUAAAGAACUAUCAAAAUGAGUAGCUAAUCUUCUCAUAUAAAUAAGAUCCAGUAAUGAAUAUAGUAUCUUCAGCAACGUCUUACCAACAAGAAAUCUACCUACAAGAGUGAAUAGCAUGUGCUAAAAUGACUGAAGUCUUGAAUAUUUCAAGCGGCAGAGCAGUAUAUCUGAAAGACAGGAAACAUACCAACAGUUGGAAGCCUUGAAAGCAUCUGUACAAGAAUGGCUGCAACAUCUAAGGCAUCAUAAGAUCUCUCUCCAAUAUCAUCACAAAUGGCAAGCUUUAUUGCUGCUGUCUGAUCGCUGAUCCUCAUAGGAAUUAUGCCAGGUGAAUCCAGUAGCUCUAGAUCUUUCCCAAAGCGGACCCACCUUUUAAAAAAGUUGCAGUGGAAAAUUAAAAGGUAGAAGUCUUUAAAAGCUAAUUUAGUCUUUUAAAAUUAUAUUGACAAUAGCCUCCUUUCUUGCAUAACAAUUACAUGGAUCUAACUAUGGUGAAAAUCUUCACUCAGUACCACUUGCAAAUUAAUAUUUUCAAAUAGAUUGCUAUAUAUUAAAAUGGUAUUCCUAUCAAUUUCUAUGUAAUGCUUAAUUCUAAAGUGACUGGAAAAUCAAAGUGAUUCACAAGGAGUCGGAAUGAGAUGGUGAAAUAGACUAAUAGAGAAGAAGUUACAACCCUGUCACCCCUUUGUCACUUAAAAGUAAAGAAGAGAUACGUGCUUUGGAAUCAAAAUUUUGUGGGAUUUUUCAUGGAAUCAAAUAGUGAAUGAACUUGCCUUAUUUUAGAAGAAAAAAAAAAAAAAAAAAAAAAAAAAAAAAAAAAAAAAAAGAGUAAGGAGCUAUGCACAUACUUCAGCUCUCUGGUAACACCUGGUCUUGGGGCUGCAGGACACAUCCGACGUUUCAGCAAACGGUUAACCAGAGAUGACUUACCAACAUUUGGAUACCCGACUACACCAGCUCGAACCUAUCAAACAUAUAAAAUUUCUCACUCAGAAAAAACUAACACGGGAGAAGCAGACAUGAAGUCCACUAUGCUAACUAGGGGUUUGUUCCAUAAUUUUGUCAUUUCAUCAACUAGUGAACCAAACAAGAAUUUGCUAUCCUGUUACAUAAUCUCCACAUAUUGUCCAUCAGUACAUGGGUAUAAGAUUAUGGCAGCAGAAAAUUCUCUUAUCCCCUGGUGUACAUUCAAACCCAAAUUAUUAGACGGUGAAACUAUGAAGUUCGUCAAUGAACCCCUUGCAUUUCUUUUAUAUCACAGUAGAUGCUUCCAAUUUUCUUCAUGUAAAUGUGAAGAUGACAUAUUAAAUACAAUAUCACAAUUAGAGUGCUACCAUUAGUCAUGAUCCAACUGACUUUGGUGGUUGGACUGAAAGAAAUUAUUGGUACUUGAAAACUGAAAUGUGCUCACACAGAUCUACAGUUUAAUCUGACAGUCUAUAUGUAAAUGAUGAAGACAUAUCAAUACAAAAAUAAGAAUUAGACUGGAAACAUCUGUGACAAACCAACUGAAUUUGAAGGAUUGAAAGUAAGAACUCAUUUAAUAAGUUCUAUUUUUCUUGACAACUGCAAUUAGCUUAUGAUAGAUCUACAGUCUAAAGGCAUGGAUGAUAUGACCAAUUAUCAAUCUUAA
rnacentral:lncRNA from 1 species